rnacentral:lncRNA from 1 species
UUUUUUUUGGUAAUGUCCACAUGGCAAAAGAAUCAUGUUAAGAUAACAACAUUCUAUUUUUUGAUGCGUAAGACAUGUCAGUUUUUUUCCCACCUAAUUGGCACGACAAAAUUUACCUUUUUAUUUGCAAUGGAAACUUUACCUUUGUUGACAUGGUUAAUUUAACUACACUGCCAUGGGAAAUUCUUCACUUCUAUUGCCAAUAGCAAAACUUUUUAUUUGCCAUGGCAAAUUUACACCAGUUACCAUGGCAAAAUUACUUACAUUGUCAUGGAAAAUUUACUUUUUACAUGUCAAUUUAAUAGCUCAUGGCAAUUUUUUGCUUUUCAUGGGACCAUGGUAAAUUGGCCAUGGCAAUUUUACUUUGAGUACAUUGAGCAUGACAAAUGAACAAGAAACAAAGUCUACAAUCAUUGAGUACAUUGCGCAUACCGUGGGGCAAAAAAUGUGUUGAAUGGUCAUAUGCCAUUUUUUUGGGAAAAAGUGUCUUAUACAUCAUAGCAAAAUUUGAAACAUUUUUUUGGAAUAGCCACACGACAAAUGUAUGCAUUUUUUAUCUUCAAAACAUGUUACCAUUUUAAGAACACGACAAUUUUACUUUGUAGCAUGGUAAAUUUACUUUAUUGCGAUGGCAUUUUUUACUUUUAUUGUCAUGUCAAUUUUACUUUAAUUUUUUGCCAUGUCAAUUUGUACUAUUUUAUUUUGAUCAUGGAAAAAUUACCUUUUUUUCCAUUGCAAAUUUACCUUCAUUGACAUGGCAAUUUUAAUUUAACAUACAUGGAAAAUUUACUUUUACGGCGCAUGGUACUUUUAUUGCCAUGGCAAAUAUAGUUUACGUUCAUGGAAAAUUUUGCUUUUCACACUGUUCAUGCAAUUUUUUGCUUCUACAGACUAUGGUAAAUUUACUUUAUGAGACAUGGCAAUUACUAGUAGACAAUAUAUGGUGCACUUUUUUGUAUUUCACGUGAUGGCAAAUUUUUAUCCACAAUUUUUUGUGUCUUCACGAUCACGUAUAUAGUAAAAAUGCCAUACAAAUUGCAAUCCAUAUUUUUUUGCCACCAUGUACACAUGCAAAUUGCCAUGACUUCCUUUUUUGUGCAUUUUCAUGAAAAAAGAUCGUUUUGACCAUGUCAAAAUUUGCUUUUAGAUACAAUGACAAUUUUUGGUUUGAACCACUAGGAUUUUCAGUUCUCUAUCAUGACAAAUUUACCCCCCCUCCUAUUUGGACCAUUGCAAUUUUUGUAUAGCAUGGCAAAAUCUAGACUUUUAUUGGUCACUACCAAAACUGGGUUUUUUAGUCUUAGUACAAACUGGGUGAAACUGGGAUUUACCAUUUUCUUGCAAAAAUGCCAUGCACGGACGCUCGAGGUGGGUGUUUGUUCUUUUUUUUGGAAUGGAGAUGCAAGAUUUGUCUCAUGAAUUAAUUAAUCAGAGGAGAAUUGCCCAAUUAAUUAACGUAAAACCAUAUGGAAACCGAUACAAACCAAGAAUAUGUGGACUCUUCAUAGAGCAUGCAAACCCCCAAAACGCACGGCCAACCUGACAACCAUACCCACUAACCCCUACACUGCUACAUCACAAAGAAACCCGUGAUGAGAGUACCUCAGCCGAAGACCGCAGACACCACCAAAUCCACACAGACAAGUCAAGUCAUAAGGACAACCCAAGAGACCGAUGACCAUUCAUCAAGCAGUUGCGGACACCUUUCUUGUGGCGCCGCUCUUCUUUCUUUUGCUCCUGAGAGCCUCCUACACAAUCGUCUUGCCAGAUCCAGGGUUAGCCGCUUCUAAACAUGCGAGCAAGCUAGAAGCUCUAUCUAGAAAGAGAAUCCCAUCAACCUUGUCACGCACAGACAACACCUACCCAACGGUCAUGUGCGAGUGGGUAAACGCAACGCCGGAACCUCCACUGUCCAUAAAGGCGAGCGACUUGCUGGGCUCUAAAGGAUCAUGUGCCAACAUACUGACCAUCUCAACAUCAGCACCCACAGGUACCACCGACAUGAUUGACUCAAGCGCCUCGGAUUGCUCACAUGACAUAGGUGAAUCAUGUUCCUUACACGAGGUUGCCAGCAAGUCGACCUUCAUAUGCUUCAUAGACAGAGGCAACUUGUGUGCUGAGGCAUAAUUUGUAGCACUAGAGCCACGACCUCAAUAACGACUUCGCUCUCGGAAGCAAUUGUCGCGACUCACAGUGGCGACGGGCAGGAUGUAGCACGAGGGGAGAAAUCUCUGUAGAGGCCUGCUUCCCCAUGUACAGAAACCAACCUAGAGCUCAGGCAGCAGAGACACAAACUGAAGUUUGGUGAGAGCAGCCUCUGCUCUUGCCAAAACACUCCCAACUCCCGCAAUGCAGUCGCGAUCAUGUCGAACAAAUUUGUUCGAUGGAUCUUUCCCUAGUAACGAACAAAACAUUUUCUCCAGAGAGCGAACAAAUUUGAUGUUAGUGCCAUAUUGGGGGUCCUAAGAGCAUCUACAAUCGGAAUCCUCAAACCCCCUAUAAGCCGGAGCAGACGAUGACCCGGUAAAAAAAACCCGACCCAGACGAACAUCUCAUACCAACGCCAAAUGCUCAGGCUAACCGACACCGCUCAUAUCCAACCCAAAUCUGGGGAGGACAUGGGGAGGCUCGGGUGCGUCCGCCACGUCGGAUCCAGCUCACUUUGGCCCGCCCCGACCUCACAUAUAUUUGUCCUCAUCUAUUCUCUGGACCAAACCCUAGCCACUCCACUCCACUCCACUUCGCCCCAAGCUCCCUUCCAGCGUUCUCCGAUGUGGCGGGCAGUGGAUCUGACUCCAAGCACUCUUGAUCAGCUGACUCGGGCUCCAUGUGAGCUGGAUGAGGCUAUGACCAUCCACAUGGUCCUCCGCCGCUCCUAGGAGGAGUGCGCCUGACCGACGUUAGAAUCUACCGACACGAAUCCAUUGCGUGAGUGCAACUGGCGCUCGGAUCCACCGGGGUUGGAGGCUCGAGGUCCGUCUGCCACCCCAUCUCUGGUCCACUGGUGUAUGAGUGCUACAAGAGUAAUGUGCCCUAUGGUAACAAGCAGGGGACGUGGGAGCGCGAGGCCCGCCUUGCUGCUGAUGUGGUGGAGGCGGAUGCGACGGCGCACUCUUUCGCGGAAGAGGAAGCCAUCAUUGCCCGCAUCCUCCAGAAUCGACAAAGGAGGAACACACACGCCCUCACCCGAGAGCAAGUCCAGGUAGUCCAUGCCAUGGCUAGAAUGCUCCCAAAGAGAAGAAGGACGUCAAUGACGGGAUGGACAACUCUGGCUAGGAGGAGAUCCGACUUGAUCCAUAUUGCGUCUUUGAGCACUACUUCCAUCAAAAACACGCCAAGGGAGCCGACAAGGGCAACCGUGGAUGAUCUUUGUGUAAGUGCAUCUAGUGCCCCUUAGUGAUUUUGGUGUAUUGAAGACUUAUAGGUUAAGGGACUAAUGUGUUUAUGAGUGUACACAGGUCUAUAAGUCUAUGAGGAGUUUGAUAUUUACAGAAAAAGUCGACCCCUAAAAAAUGAAGUUCUUUGACUAAAGACUUUGAAUUUCUGAAGACUUUCUGAAGACUUUGAAAGUGAAGAAAUUGGUGUGACCUUUGAAGACUUGGCAUUCAUUCGAGGAACAUGAAGCGUGAAGACUUUUGUUUUCGUAGUUCCUUUUUCUCUUUCUUGAGUCAUAGGAAACACCAUACUGUUAAAGGGGGUCGAGGAAAUACUAAGGAAAAAUUUCCAUGUGAUGCUCAACUCAAAAUCCUACACCUACCAAUCCCUUCGAUUGAAGCCAUUGGAAAUCUCAUACAGUUCAGUCAUAUUCUUCGGUGACAGAGACGAAGUUCUUCUGGUCUCUGAGGAAUUUGUUCUGACUGAGGAGUUAGGAAUUCGCCAGUGCGGAUUGCCUACACGGUGAGGAACAUGAUAGCCCUGAGGAAUUUGAUACUCAAAUUUCCGACCGUUGCUGUGCUAUGUGCCAGCUGUCCCAAAAUAUCUAUCCACCUAACGGUCAUAUCAUUGAAGGGCAUUUAUGUCUUAUCAUGUCGGGCUGCUCCCUAGGCUAUAAAUAGCCGCCCCUAUAACCACUAGCUAGUUGGCUGCUCCGAGAAAAACUGACACUUGUCAUUUGAGAGCAUCCCAUUCUCCGAGGACUUUGAGCGAAAAUCAUCAAGUGAGGAAAACCCAAACCCAAUCAACUACAAACCCAAAGUGAUUGAGCAUCACUAAAGAGAUUGAUCCUGCGUGGAUCCGACGCUUGUUACCUUUGAAGACUGUGCUUCUUCCAGACGGUUAGGCGUCAUGGUCUAGAGCAUCCAAGAGGAAUUGUGGAUCGCCGAGUGACCAAGUUUGUGAAGGUUCGGAAGUCACCUGAAGACUUACCACGAGUGAUUGGGCGAGUUCUGUGUGACCUUAGCUCAAGGAGAAUAUGGUGAGGACUGUGUGUCCUCAGGUUUAAAUACCUAGCUGCUCCAACCAGAUGUACAACUGAGACAACAGUUGGAACUGGUCUACCAAAUCAUUGUCUUCACCAAGCUCACUGGUUCUAUUUCCUCAACUCUUUCAUUUCGUCAUAACUGUGUUGAGUGCUUGUUCGUAUCUGUGUUUGAAGACUUUGACUAAAGACUUUCUCAAUUUCCUCAGUUCAAUUUCUUUAGUCUGUUUGUCUUCAUACUGUGUUAUCCUGCGUUUACGCUUUCUGUACUAUGUGCUUGUCUUCUUUUCAUCAUGAUGACUAUGCUUGUGUUCUUUUAUGUUUAGUUUUGAGUACUUAUUCCGCUGCUAGUAGUUCUUCGCUAAGGAAUUUCCUCACCUACAAAUUCCUCAGUGAAGAAUUCACAAAAAUCACCUAUUCACCCCCCUCUAGUCGAUAUAACGCACUUUCAAUUGGUAUCAGAGCAAGGUACUCCCUUGUUCUGUGUGAUUUUGGUUUAACCGCCUGGAUUUUUAGUUAUGUCGACCACAGGAAUGAAGACUGUGUCAUGCCCCAUCUUUGACGGUCACGAGUAUCCCAAGUGGAAGGCCAUGAUGAAGAAGCGCCUCAUGGCGAUGAACAGCGAGCUGUGGACGGUCACUGAGAUUGGUCUGACCGAUCUGUGCAAGAUGGCGGAAGCUGAUGACAUUCACAAGUACACUCUUCUCAACGUCACAACGAAGGACGCCAUCUGCUCCUGUUUGUCUCAAAAUCAGUUCAGGAAUAUCAUGCAUCUUGAUCAUGCGAAGCUUAUCUGGGACCGUCUCUCUGAGGUCUAUGAAGGUCAUCGAACCCGUCAUGAUCCUUGGUUUGAGGACUUCAGGGAAUCUCUCAAAGCGAUGGCAUUCAAACUAGAAUCAUCAUCUUCUGCAUCAUGCCUUAUGGCAAAAGAUGCUAAGAUAACUGAAUGCUAUCUAUCUGAAUCCAGUGAUGAUGAAUCUGGUGAUGAAUUUGGACCCAACUAUAUCAAACUUGCUUCCCUUGCCACUAAACAACAAAGAGCUUUGGAAAAAAAAUCAAUACAUGCUAAAUAAGAGUGAUGAUAUGUUGGGUGAAGAAAUGGAUCAGUCCAAAGCUUUGGCUGAGAGUCUUCAGAGGCUUCAGUCUAAGUUUGACACCCUUCAAGGUCAUCAUAACACUCUCUUAUCUGAUCAUGAGAAGCUUUCAUAUGAAUUUCUUCAAAGAAUGCAAGAUCUUGAAAAUAUAAGAGUGAGUUAUGAAGAUCUUCAGAAGGAGCAUGAUUCAUUGCUUUCUCAACAAAUCAACGCUUCUCAGGAAGAAUUUGUUCCUCCAUGCUUGAAGUGCAUUGAACAUGAAUCUGCUAAUUCUUCACCUGAAUGUUCAAAUGCUGCUAAUAUUUUAAAUUCUUCACCUGCCUCUGCUAUCACUAAUUCCUCAUCUGAGGACACUGCUAGUAUCACUGACAAUGCAGGGCUGAAGGAAUUGUACAUGACAGGCAUGUACAAAAGCCUCAAAGGGCAUCAGACUCUUUGUGAUGUGCUUAAAAAGCAGAUCCUCAACAGGAACCCUAGGAAAGAGGGUAUUGCCUUUGAGAGGAAACUCAAUGCUGAUGGUACAUAUUGGAAGCCUGAGCAGUACCCCAAAACCUCCUGGGUUGCUGCAAAGGGACCUCCAGUUGAUCCAUCCAACUUAUCUGGCUUUGCAUGUGAAUCUCCUCGUUCUGAUGAUGAGUCAUUUGACUCCAACUAUAAACUGUUCAAAAAUCAUAAUGGUGAAGUAUUUGCUAGAUAUGUUGGCACUAACUGCAGGAACGGUCCUCCUAUGAAGAAAAUCUGGGUUCCCAAAAAGUGCCUUGAAAGUCUUCAGGUGAAUGUCCUCAGGACACCACCUGUGAGGAAUAGGAACCCCAGAUCAAAUUCUUCAUAUGGACCAAAUUCCUCAAAAGGAUCAAAGUCCUCAUAUGAAUAUCAUCAUGCUAAUUACUCUGUUUCGCAGGGAAGAGCCAAGGGCUAUGAAUAUGAGUAGUAUUCUUCUAAUCAUUAUGUUCAUAAGUCCUCGAAAAAUUUCUCUGCAUAAUCAUAUGCUUAUCCUAACUCCUCUUAUGUGAAACAGAAUGGACUGGCUUCUAUGCCACCUUUCUCGUAUGGAGCUCGCAGAGUGAUGAACCCUUUGCCACCCCUUCAGAUGUGGGUGGUGAAGAAAAAGAACUAAUCUCUUCUGUAGGGUCAGGUCUCCAGACAUACGUAAUCGUCUGAAGAAUUUGCUGGAGACCUGAGUGUGCCUGAAAGGACGCAGGCUAAUCAUGAAGAAAUGAACUUUCAUUUCUCACGUCCUCAUACCGCUUUAUCUGUUCUGUUUCUUGAUGAAAUUGAUCUGAUGAAUUGAUGUCAUAUUCUUCACUGAUGAAGUAUAUGAGUUAGUAAGUUGCACUAAUUCAUCUGCAAGAUGAUCAACCCAAAGCCACUGAGUGGGUCCUCGAUAGUGGAUGUACAAAUCACAUGACUGGUGACAAGAAUCUAUUGAUGGAUGCUCCCUUAUCACCAUCACAUCUGAAGCAUAUCAUCUUCGCUAACAAAGGCAAAAGUCAGGUAUUGGGUCUAGGUAAGGUUGCGAUCACAAAGGAUCGACACAUGGACAAAGUCAUGCUUGUCGAGUCCUUAGGAUACAACCUCAUGUCUAUCUCAAUGCUUUGCGAUCUUGAUAUGGUUGUUGUCUUUGGCAAGUACCGUUGUGUUGUGGUUAUGGAAGCUGACAAUUCCAAAGUCUUUGAAGGCUUUAGGAGAGGAGACCUGUAUAUUGUUGAUUUCUCUACAGGACCACAACCAGCCAUGUGCCUACUUGCAAAAGCUUCAGAAGGCUGGCUCUGGCAUCGACGACUUGGUCAUGCAGGCAUGAGGAAUUUGCACACGCUUGCGAAGAAGAAGCAUGUCAUUGGCAUUGAGAAUAUCAAAUUCCUCAAGGAUCACUUAUGCGGAGCCUGUGAAGCUGGGAAUAUGACAAAGGCUAAGCAUCCAGUGAAGACUAUCAUGACCACCACUCGUCCAUUUGAAUUGCUUCACAUGGAUCUCUUCGGUCCUAACCAUUAUUCUGUAGUCUCAAAUGAUGCAUCUCAAUAUGUCUUUGUUAUUGUUGAUGAUUACUCUCGAUACACAUGGGUACACAUUGUUACUUACAAACAUGAAGUGCAGGAAGUCUUCAAACGAUUUUCCUCGAGGGCUUCAACCAACUUUGGUGUGAAGAUCAAGCACAUCAGAAGUGACAAUGGAACUGAGUUUAAGAAUUCUGGUCUUGAUGACUAUCUUGAUGAACUUGGUAUUACUCAUGAGUUAUCUGCUCCUUAUACUCCUCAGCAGAAUGGCGUCGUGGAGCUCAAGAACAGGACUCUUGCUGAGAUGGCUUGCACUAUGCUUGAUGAAUACAAAAUGCCUCGUCGUUUUUGGACUGAGGCAAUUGAUACUACGUGCCACAUCAUCAACGGAGUAUAUCUUCACAAAUUCUUCAAGAAUACUGCCUAUGAACUCCUCACUGAUAAGAAACCCAAUGUAAGUUAUUUCAAAGUCUUCGGUGCUAAAUGUUGGAUUAGAGAUCCUCAUCACAACUCAAAAUUUGCACCGAAAGCACAUGAAGAUUUCAUGCUUGGUUACAGAAAGGACUCGCACACCUACAAAGUUUUCAACAAUGUUCUUCACAAGGUUGUUGAAACUGUAGAUGUGCGGUUCGAUGAAACUAAUGGCUCGCAAAGAGAGCACCUACCUUAUGUGAUAGAUGAACCAGCACCUGAGGAAACUAUCAAGUUCAAGGCUAAUGAGGAUGUCAUUCCUACCGAAGAAUCUGCCGAAGAGUUCAUUCCAGAACACGAAGAACGCCAAGCUAAUGCACCUGAAGAAAAUACUGAAGAAAAUGGUGCUGAAGAAAAUGCUGAUCAAAUUCCUCAAUGACAACCAGCUCAUCCUCGCGUUGCAAAAGAAGUGCAAGUUGAAAAGAUCAUCUAUGACAUUAAAGCACCAAGUCCUCUCACACGCUCAAAAGCUUCACAUUUAUCUAACUUUUGUGGGCACUAUGCUUUUGUAUCACAGAGCCCACUAAGGUAGAUGAAGCAUUUCUGGAGCCUGAGUGGAUUCAGGCCAUGCAAGAAGAAUUACAUCAGUUCGAGCUCAACAACGUCUGGGAACUGGUCAAACGUCCAGAUCCUCGCAAGCACAAUAUCAUUGGCACAAAGUGGAUCUAUAGCAACAAGCAAGACAAAAAUGGCCUAGUGGUAAGGAAUAAGGCACGGCUUGUAGCUCAAGGCUACACACAGGUUGAAGGAAUUGAUUUCGAUGAAACUUUUGCACCUAUUGCUAGACUUGAGGCUAUUCGCAUAUUACUUGCUUAUGCUAACCAUCAUGAUAUCACUCUAUAUCAAAUGGAUGUGAAAAGUGCAUUCCUCAAUGGUAAGCUUGGGGAAGACGUAUAUGUUUCUCAACCCCCAGGUUUUGAAGAUCCAAAGCAUCCUGACAAAGUGUUCAGACUCAAUAAGGCCCUCUAUGGCCUCAAGCAGGCCCCUCGGGUGUGGUAUGAUACUUUGAAGGAAUUCCUCAUGAAGAAAGGCUUUAAACCCGGUUCACUCGACCCUACUCUUUUCACUAAAUCUUAUGAUGGUGAAUUGUUUGUGCCCCAAAUAUAUGUUGAUGAUAUUAUCUUUGGCUGUACUGUCCAACGUUAUAGUGAUGAAUUUGCCUAUAUGAUGAGUGAAGAAUAUCAAAUGUCUAUGAUGGGAGAAUUGAAAUUCUUCUUAGGUCUUCAAAUUCGUCAACAACGCAAUGGCAUAUUCAUAUCUCAGGAGAAAUACCUCAAGGAUGUACUGAGAAAAUUCGUCAUGCAAGAUUGGAAAGGCGUCAAAAUCCCUAUGCCCACAAAUGGCCAUCUAUCCACUAAUGAAAAUGGUAUUGACUUUGAUCAAAAGGUAUACCGCUCCAUGAUUGGUUCCUUAUUGUACUUAUGUGCAUCUAGGCCAGAUAUAAUGCUUAGUGUUUGCAUGUGUGCCCGAUUUCAAGCUACACCGAAGGAAUCACACCAUAAGGCUAUGAAGCAUAUUCUUCGAUAUCUAGCUCACACACCAAUACUUGGAUUAUGGUACCCCAAGGGCUCGGUUUUUGAUCUCAUUGGGUAUUCUGACUCUGACUAUGCUGGUGAUCGUGUGGACCGCAAGUCAACAUCUGGUACAUGUCAUUUCCUCGAACGAUCUUUGGUCUGUUGGUCCUCGAAGAAACAUAAUUGAGUAUCACUAUCUACUGCUGAAGCUGAGUACAUUGCCGCUGGUUCUUGCUGUGCUCAAUUGCUAUGGAUGAAGCAAACUCUCAAGGACUACGGUGUCAACAUGAAGAAUGUGCCUCUCUUCUGUGACAAUGAGAGUGCCAUCAAGAUUGCUCACAACCCAGUUCAGCACUCGAAGACAAAGCACAUUCAGAUUUGUCAUCAUUUUCUUCGUGAUCAUGUGUUGAAGGGUGACAUUUCUAUUGAGCAUGUGAAGACUGAAGAACAGCUAGCCGAUAUCUUCACAAAGCCCUUGGAUGAGAAGAGAUUUAGCAAGUUGCGGUGUGAGCUAAAUAUCUUAGAAUCUUCGAAUGUUCUUUGAAAAGGACACUCAUCCUAACACUUAUGCAAAAUUGAUGACUUAGAUGUGCAACACAUGAAGAAAACGUUUUUCUUCAAUCAAUGAAGAAUAACACUCUAAGUGUGAAGAAAUUAACGAAGAAUUUGAUUCUCAGAACCCUACGACAAUUGUACGCGGUGUCUGAAAUCAUCAUUCUUAUAAGGUGGGUCACGCCACCACCAAAAGUUGAAAAUCUUCAAUUUGAGUUUUUCCUCAGUUUUGAAAUUCCUCAGUUGUUCAAAUUCUUCAACUUUGCAUUGUCUUCACUGUUUUCGUCAUUUUUCUUCAUUGGCUAUAUAUAUAUAUAUAUAUAUAUAUAUAUAUAUAUAUAUAUAUAUAUAUAGGGAAAAUCCAUUCUACCACCCAGUGGUAGUUACCCCACAUAUCUCGUAUACUACCAUGUGGUACUAUAUAUACUAUUUUUUUAUUUUAAAUAUGUUCAUAUACUAUAUCUAAGAUAUUUCAAAGCAAGCUACAUGAAAAAAUGGAUAUGAGCCCAUAGUUUUUGUUAUAUUUGUGAAAUACGUAGAUAUUUGUUCGUAAAAAAGAACUUACUCAAAACAUGGUACAUACUACCUAAAAAUUAGUAUAUAUACUACCUAAUCAUUGUUAUAUACUACAUACUACACGUACAUACUCUCGGUUUUGAUAGAUACUACAUACAACAUACAAAACGCAAGUGGUGGUAACUACCACUGCUUUUAGGAAACAUUUGUCCUAUAUAUAUGAGUUUACGUCCUCUACAUCAUUCACUUAUGUCUAUCUUUUCAAGUUGGCUUUUCUGCUAAGUGAAUGUGAUCGGACCCUUCCCCCUCUAUGCUAUACUCAACCCAAUCUAUUCACAAAUUCUUCAUGUGCGUUCUAUUUGAAACUUGUUCAAAAUCUUCACCGUGUCCUUGUAAAGAAUUGCGAACGCAAUGUUAAAACUUAUCUUAUCCAAAUUUUCGGCUUUUCCGCUCAAACCGUUCCGCAUCCCACGAUAUACUUAUCUAUUCACCCACAAUCGCACACGAUCUCCACUUCUCAGUACGUGGGUGACACAUGUCAAGCGAAUGAGAAGGGUAAGGGGCACGAUCGUCCAAAUUCUUCGGGCGAACAGUUUUCGCCGUGGCUAUAAAUACCCCCUUCCCCUUCCUCACUUCCUUUACUCCGCUCGACCUCUCUCCAGCUCGAGCUUCUCAAACCCUAGCGCCGCCGCUACUUCAUCGUUGCCGGUGAGGAAAAUCUUCACUGCCUCGACCUCAUCGCCGUCGUACUCGCGCCAGCCGCGGAAAUCUUCACUCCGCUGCCGCCGUAGCCGUCUUCCUCCGCCAAGUUAGGGCGUGGAAGAUCUGCACUGACGAACUUCACAUCUCCACAUUCCAGUUCUUCGUGUUCUUCGUCCAGGGUAAUUAAAAGUUACUUUUACUGCCCUCUUUGAUUCAAAUGAUUUCUACAAAAUCCUAAAAGGUGUUUUUCUUCAUAUCUUCACACACUAAAACACCUCACAUGUCAUCUGUUCUUGAUUCGUUUCUCUAAGCUAUGUUAUUCUUCAAGAUUCCUCAAAUGUGUGGAUUUUCGAUCUAUACAUCUCUGGAAACUAAGACAAAGAAUGCUUAGUGAAAUUCUUCAAGACUCGUCUGGUCAAAUUCCUUAAACUUGUUCUUUAUAAAAACCUUCUGAGAACGCAUAUGACCUCUCCAAAUUCCUCACAACUAUACUCUGUUCACAGGUACUCAUGUCAGCUGCUGAAUCACUAGGUUCUCAUCAACUUAACUCAUUUGCAGCGUUCCUUGAAGAAAAGUUGCAUACUUAUUCAGAGAAUUCAAUUGUUCAAAUUCCUCAACUGAAGAAAAUGGCUGAUGGUUAGAAGCCACAUAAAGGAGGAAAGAGGCCUGAGGUCAACACUGCCUUUGAAAUACCCGAGGACAUAUAUGCUGGGUACUGCACACCCCCUGAGGAAGAUAAAAAUCAGCGCAAGGUGCGCAUUCAAAAGAUUGAGAGGAGAUGGGCAAGAGAGUGGAGAGAGUACAGAUAUGUCACUCCCAAAUAUAUGAAGAAAUUUGCACUAAAUCCUCCAUGCCCAAGACCUCCAUUGGCACAUGGUCAAAUAGCUGAUCCCACCAGCCUCAAGCGUGGUGAGGAUUAUCCUGAUGAAUGGGCCAAGCGCGAGGCCAAGUUGGCCAAACAAGCAAAAGAUGCAGUGAGGAAAUUCAACGAAGACUCUGCUGUCGUUGCUGCUGUUGAGGCCUCUAUAAAGCCGAAGAAGGCCAUGCCAACGAAGCCUGCUCACAAGCCCAGUGCUUCACCAGCAAUGCCCUCACGGCCGAGUUCCUCAGCUAUGCCCUCACGGCCAGAUUCCUCAAAGCCCUCACGGCCAAUUCCUCACGUUGCUCCUGCUCCUACAAAAUCUUCAGCUCCUCCGCCAAAGUUUUCGGCUGCUCCGACCAAAUCCUCAGCACCUGUGCAUCUCGCCAUGUGCCAAAGGACCACAGGCAUAUCUAUUGCCUCAGGAGCCUCUGCAAGUUCCUCACCUGCUCCAAGUCCUCAGCUGCUCCCUCUCUUCUGAAGAAGAAGACCACUACUAGACGAGGUCCUCGACCAAGUCCUCACAAGAAACAAGUUGCUUUCCAAGUGCCCUCUGAUGAUGAUGAGGCUGAUGAUGAAGAACUAGCAGAAAUCAUCAGAGACAGGCAAGUCUGGGCCGCUAGAGCCAAGGGCACAAGUGUGCCUCUACUUUUGGAUCCAAAGUUGAUCCUUGAGUACAUUGACUUAUGGCACAAGGACCCAAAUACUCCCAUGCCUGAUUUCAAGCUGACACCUGGCCAAAGUCAUAUGUUGACUCAUUUCAUACAAGAAGAAAAAUGGAAGUUUGAGAAGGCCAGGCAGAUCAAGAAAGCACAUACAAAAAGAAGCGCUACCUGAAGAAAAAUGUUGUCUUUAUGACAACCGAAGAACUAGUCAAUAUACGGUCUAAGAUCAAGAAACUCAGUGAUGAAUUUGACGCAUACCAUGCUGAUUGGCUGGGAGCCAAGGUUUGUUUUGUGAGACUUGCUGACAACUUCACCUCAAAUGUUGUAGCCCCAACGCAAUAGGAAAUCCCUCAGGCUGAAGCAUCUGCUCAGCCGACUGAAGAAAAUGCCAGCACCGCUGAUGACAAUCAGGUUGCUGAAGAAAAUGUGAGUUCCAGGGCUGAUGACUGCAUUCCAGCCGCUGAUGAAAUUGUGAGGGCAUCCACUAGUGGUGCGCCUGAAGAAAAUGAAGAAGUCAGGGCAACUACAUCAGUUGCGCAUGAAGAAAUUCAACCCAAUUCCUCUGCUCCUGCGCCUACACCAACCCCGAUCCUUCCAUCUGCAUCAGAUGUGAAGAAAACUAAGGCUGCAGAGCAUGCAACGGUGAAGAAAAGGAAGGCAUCAACUGCAUUAGAUUCUUCAGCUCAGAAGAAGAUGAAGCCACUGACUAGCUUGUUUGCAAAUCCAAUUGAUGUUGUUCCUAUCCCAACCAUGGCAUCAAAGGACCUUGUUCCUUUUGAUGAAGAAUAUGUGAUUCCAAGUGAAUCCGAUGAAGAGAAUCCCUCUGCUGCUUCGUCAGAGCAGAUGGAUGAAGAAAUUGAAGUGGAUACAAUCCCUUCAACACCAGUUGUCUCCUCGCCUAUGCCUCAGUUUACUGCUGAAGAGGCCGGCGUUGAAGAAAUGGGAGAUGAAGAUGUGUACAUUGGCUAUACCACACCUGUGCUAAGUGAUGAAUUUUGGGAAAGUCAGCACCCCAACUCUCCACUCUUCACACCAUUGCAACAAAUUCCUCAGUCCCCAGUAACUACUGUACAAAUGGGAUCUGAUGAACCACAUGCCACACCGUCUGUCCAUGAAGAAAUUCCAGCCACUAGUGCCGAAGAUCAUGUGAAUGAAGAAUUGAAGUCCCAAGCUGCCACUGAAGCAGUACCUGAAAUUCCUCAGCCUGUGGAACCUGAGAUCGAGAUUUCGGAGGUUGUGAUGCAAUUGACUGACACUCCUCACCCAAGCCAAAGGAUCCAUUCUCAAAGAAGUAGAAAUUCAAGGCUGAUGAUUUCUUUGGCGAGCACGUGUUCUUCACUGACUACACUCCUUAUGACUCUGCUCGUCUAAGGAGGAAGCGUUUCUGGACUGCAAGCCAGGCCAACUUCUAUUCUUCACUGCUUUUCAACAAAGACAAAAUCUUCUGCCAUGAGCAUAUUCCUCACGUGGACAUGGAAUCAUUACCUUGCUUCUCUCAUGUGCUCAGUGUUCUUCAUGAUGCAGGCCUCCUCAACUUUUGCUCUGACAUUGCUGAUUGGAAUGAAGAGCUUAUCCUUCAGUUCUACGCUACAUUGCAUAUCACAGGUGAUCCUGAAGAUAUCAACACCUGGGUCUUGGAAUGGAUGACCGAAAAUACUCACUAUAAGGCACCGACCUCUGAAUUGCUUCACGCCCUGCCCAUCAGUCCACCCAGUGAAGGAGCUCGCUGCCUGUAUCAUGAACCAGAACUCACAGCUCAUUACAUGCAAGUGUUAAUGAAGCCUUUGAAGCCCGGUCAAGCCCCAAGGACCAAACUCCUCAUGAAGGAUUUACUCUAUGUGCCCAGAACUGUCUAUCGCAUUCUAACGAGGACAAUGAGUCUCAUCAAAGGCCAUGACUCAUCUGAUGAGAAAAUAGUUGGGAUCAUGAAGAAUCUGCUAUUCAACAUCAUUCAUAGCAUUCCUAUCAAUUAUCACGAUUUCUUCAUGAGGACUCUGGAAAAUGCUGCACUUUCUCCAUUUGAGCUGAAACCUUAUGUACCUUGGAUUAUGAGAUUCCUCAGGACAAGGUCUUCACUCAACUACAAGGCUGAUUUUUAGAAUCACCUUAGCUAUCUGCCCCCAAUUGAAGUCCUCAAGCAGGCUUUUACUUCAACUGAUGAAAAGGGCAAGGCUCCUACUGUCAUUGAUGAAGGCAUUCGUCCAUUGGAUGGUCAGUUUCGCAAAGUUGCAUCUUAUUCCACCAAUGAUGACUCUGCCACACAUGACUCUGCUGCCAAUGCACCCAAGUCUACUCCUCAAGCCACUGCUCCUCGUGUGAUGACUAACCGUGAGCUUCUGCUUAGUCUUCACCAGAAGGUGGAUCGAAACCAUAAAUGGGUUAAGCGUCAGUUUGGUUCAUUUCUUCACAACAUGACUGCUACACACAAUGUAGUGAAGAAAAACCAUUACUACCUCCAUGAAGUCUUCGGUCGCACCUGGGCUAUUCUAUCACAUCUGUAUGGUGAAGAAGAUCUCAAGAAAAUGGGUCUUAAGGAAGAUUUUGACUGGUCUGCACCUCCACCGAAGAAAUUCAAGAAGGUCAAGGUUCCUUAUUUGGUGUCCAGCUCAUAUUCUUCAUCACGCGAUACCAACGAGCACGAAGACUUGGACGACACUGCGGCAGGCCCUUCCACGACAAACGCGCCCAACAACGCUGGUGCUCCUUCAUCAACUUGAUCUUCUUGAGGGGCGUUAGUCCUCAUUUUCGAUUCUUUUGGUCAUUCGAUGACAAAUGGGGAGAAUUUUGAGUUAGUCUUCAAGCGGGUCUGUCUAUAUGGGUGUUUUUUUAUAAAGUUACAACUCUCGUUCUUCUGAAACUUUAUUGGAUCGAGUUGUAAACUUAAACCUGAUGGUGCUCUGAUACUCUUGAUGUGUUUUUCUGCAUGCUUAUUCCUCAUAUAUGUUAAUGCACGCAUGCUGAAUUACAUCAGUCACCAUAUUUCAUCAUGCAUUGCAAAUUCUUCAUUAUGAUAUGUCAAAUGUGUGUAUGAAUUACAAGAUAUAGGGGGAGAUCUCCAUUAUUCUAUUCUACAAAGUGUGCAAUGCUUCAAAAGAAAAUUCCUCACUAUGCACAUCUUCAGGGGGGAUUUCUUCUAUAUCUUGCAAUCAAAUUCCUCAAUAUCAGUAUUUACACUUCAUAUGUUUAUCCCCGUUGAAAACUUAACCUAUAUUGUCAUCAAUCACCAAAAAGGGGGAGAUUGUAAGUGCAUCUAGUGCCCCUUAGUGAUUUUGGUGUAUUGAAGACUUAUAGGUUAAGGGACUAAUGUGUUUAUGAGUGUACACAGGUCGAUAAGUCUAUGAGGAGUUUGAUAUUUACAGAAAAAGUCGACCCCUAAAAAAUGAAGUUCUUUGACUGAAGACUGAGAAUUUCUGAAGACUUUGAAAGUGAAGAAAUUGGUGUGACCUUUGAAGACUUGGCAUUCAUUCGAGGAACAUGAAGCGUGAAGACUUUUGUUUUUGUAGUUCCUUUUUCUCUUUCUUGAGUCAUAGGAAACACCGUACUGUUAAAGGGGGUCGAGAAAAUACUAAGGAAAAAUUUCCAUGUGAUGCUCAACUCAAAAUCCUACACCUACCAAUCCCUUCGAGUGAAGCCAUUGGAAAUCUCAUACAGUUCAGUCAUAUUCCUCAGUGACAGAGACAAAGUUCUUCUGGUCUCCGAGGAAUUUGUUCUGACUGAGGAGUUAGGAAUUCGCCAGUGCGGAUUGCCUACACAGUGAGGAACAUGAUAACCCUGAGGAAUUUGAUACUCAAAUUUCUGACUGUUGCUGUGCUAUGCACCAGCUAUCCCAAAAUAUCUAUCCACCUAAGGGUCAUAUCAUUGAAGGGCAUUUAUGUCUUAUCAUGUCGGGCUGCUCCCUAGGCUAUAAAUAGCCGCCCCCUACAACCACUAGCUGGUUGGCUGCUCCGAGAAAAACCAACACUUGUCAUUUGAGAGCAUCCCAUCCUCCGAGGACUUUGAGCGAAAAUCAUCAAGUGAGGAAAACCCAAACCCAAUCAACUACAAACCCAAAGUGAUUGAGCAUCACUAAAGAGAUUGAUCCUACAUGGAUCCGACGCUUGUUACCUUUGAAGACUGUGCUUCUUCCAGACGGUUAGGUGUCAUGGUCUAGAGCAUCCAAGAGCAAUUGUGGAUCGCUGAGUGACCAAGUUCGUGAAGGUUCAGAAGUCACUUGAAGACUGUAAGGACAUAUUUAUCCCUAAGUGUUUUGGUGAUUGAUGACAACACAUUUGCGGACUAAUCGUGUGCCAUGAGUAUUCCAGACACUUCUUUGCUAGGCACAAGACGAUUGGGUGCCCCUCGAAGACUGACGAAGACGACGUCUUUUCUACAUUUCUUUUUGGUGGAUUUGAGUCGUAGGAAAGCCGUACUAUUAAGAGGGGGUCCGCGUUGGAAAGGUUUGGGUGGAAUCAUCACGUACACGUCUCUUUUUAUCCCCUCCUUCUUCCUUGGAGCUUCCUCCGUUUUCCUGCCUCCUGUGACUCGCUGCUGUUGUGGUUGCGGUAGUACUGCUCCUGGAUCAAUGGUAGUACCGUAGGCAUCCACGGUAGUACCGCGCGGUGGCGCGGUAGUACCGCUCCCCUGGAGCCGCACUACUGCUGCCCACCAGGCUAGUGCCGCCUCUUUGUGGUAGUAGGAGCGGAUGUAAUUUUUUACAUCCGCACCUGCCGCGGUAGUACCGCUUUCGCCGUGUGGUAGUACCGCGCUAUGCGGUCAGGCAGUAGUACCGCCCCUCGGCAGUACUACUGUGUCGGGUUUUUGCUACUUCCGUUUUUUUGCGGAAGUAGGCACGGAAGUUUCCCUUCCCCCUGGCUGGGACUUUUGCCUUGCGGUAGUACCGCAUGGGGGGCGCGGUAGUACCGCGCGUGCGGAAGUACCGCCCCCAGCUUCUGUGCGUCUGUUUCUGUGCUGGGGUUGCGGCAGUACCGUGGGUCGGUACGGUAGUACCGCACAGCCGUGCGGUAGUACCGCUUGGUUGCAAGCAGUAGUACCGCGCGGCCUUGCGGUAGUAUCACUGGCCAGGCGUGGUAGUACCGCUGGCCGCGGGCUGGUUGGUGGGUAACGGUUGGAUCUUUUCCACACACUAUAUAAGGGGUCUCCUUCUUUCCCGUUGACUUACCUCUUCCACCAUUAAAGCUCCAUUAUUGCUCCAAGCUCCAUUUUCGCCCGAUCUCACUCCCUAGCCAACCAAACUUGUUGAUUUGCUCGGGAGUGGUUGAGAAGGCCCUGAUCUACACUUCUACCAAGAGAUAUUUGAUUCCCCCUACUAAUCCCUUGCGGAUCUUCUUACUCUUGGGUGUUUGAGCAUCCUAGACGGUUGAGGUCACCGCGAAGCCAUAGUCCAUUGUGGUGAAGCUUCGUGGUGUCAUUGGGAGCCUCCAAUUGAGUUGUGGAGAUUGCCCCAACCUCGUUUGUAAAGGUUCGGUCGCCGCCUCCAAGGGCACCAAUAGUGGAAUCACGGCAUCUCGCAUUGUGUGAGGGCGUGAGGAGAUUACGGUGGCCCUAGUGGCUUCUUGGGGAGCAUUGUGCCUCCACACCGCUCCAACGGAGACGUACUUCCUCUCAAAGGGAAGGAACUUCGGCAACACAUCCUCGUCUCCACCGUCUCCACUCUUGGUUAUCUCGUGCCUUUACUUGUGUAGCUUAUUUGUUUCAUAUAUCUUGCUUGCUUGUGUUCCUAUUCGUGUUGCAUCAUAUAGGUUGCUCAUCUAGUUGCAUAUUUAGACAACCUACUUUGAUGCAAAGUUUAAAUUGCUAAAGAAAAGCUAAAAUUUGUUAGUUGCCUAUUCACCCCCCUCUAGUCAACCAUAUCGAUCCUUUCAAUUGGUAUCAGAGCCUCGUCUCUUUAUUAAGGACUUUACCGUCCAAAGAGUAUGGUUGAUACCGUAGACGGUGCGGAGGAACACUCCGGUGUGAAUCCUAUCUCAUCUACGGGCGAUGGGGGAACCUCGGUCUCUCGUGAGGAGUUCAAUGUGGCCUUGGAGACAUUGAAAACCUCCAUGACGACCAAAGUUGAGAGCAUGUUUACUAAAUUUCUUGAGGGGCUUAAACUAUCCACUACACCAUUGAAAGUGGGUGAUCCCGCCAACAAGGUGACGGAUGCUAUCCCCGACAAGGGGGAAGCUAGUAGUGAAAAGGCUCCUUCUUCUAGUGGUAAGAAUGGCACUGGCAUCUUUGCCCAUGUGGAACCACCACUUGUUUAUGGUGGACCGAUUCCUUCCACUCAUUUGAAUCAUGCCGGUCCUCCUCCUAAGAUUGUGAAAAAUGAGGACUUUGAUUCUUGGGUUUACCGCUUUAAACGUCAUUUAAAUCAUGUGAACACUAACCUUUGGAGAAUCAUUGAAGAAGGUUUUUAUCCGCAUGAUCCAAGCAACUUCACUCCUCGAGAAGCCACGGAUAAUCAAUUCAAUGAGAAUGCUCUCUUCAUCAUUCAAGAUGCAAUUCCACCCGAAGACCUACCUCAUCUUCGUCCCUUUGCCUUGGCCAAAGAUGCAUGGCAUUGUGUUGUCUCUCUCUAACAGGGAAGCGCAAGCAUUCAACGCUCCGAUUAUGAAGUGGUUCAAGAUGAGGCCGAUGAGUUUGCAAUGAAAGAAGAUGAAGAACCUCGUGAGCUUUAUCGGAGAGUAACCAAAGUCGCGGUGUCUCUACGAGAUCACGGGAGCAAGGACACGGAUGACAAUUGGAUCAAGCGCAAAUUCCUCAAGUCAAUGAUGCCCUAUCACAAGGCCAUGUCCUCCGUCAUUCGCCAAAGACCGGACUUCCACACUUUGACCUCAAGCGAAGUGUUGGAUGAGUUUGUGGCCAUGAACAUUUUGGACAAGACCGCCGACAAUGCGGUGCUCCGUUCUCAACGGGCAAAGAAGCCUAACCUAGCAUUGAAGGCCAAGCUCACCGUGGAAGAAGAAGAAGAGGAAGAAGAGGAGAGCAACCCCGAAGAUAUGAAGUAUGCAUAUCAUGAACACAUGGCACUUGCUUCAAGGCAAUUUUGGAGCAAGAAAAACUCGAGGCCAAACUUUAGCAAAAGCAACUCGAGUGGCACAAGGGGCAAGCAACGUGUAAGGACUUGCUACAAUUGCGGCAACAUGAGUCAUUUCAUUGCAGAAUGCCCGUAUGAGAAGAGGGAAGACAAUGGUGGCAAGCUCAUCCGAAAGGACAAGGCCAAGUCGUUCCCCAACAAGAACAACUUCACCAAGAAGACUCCUCCCAAGGCUUUGGUUGUGCAAGAAGAGUACAAUGAGGAUGAUGAUGAUGAUGAAGAUGGUGAGUCGGUUGCCAUGGCCUCCGUUGGCAUUGCAACAACGUCACGGGUGUCUCUCUUCGACUCACCCAAUGAGAGCAUCACCGCCAAGUGCCUCAUGGCUAAAGCCACCAACAAGGUAACCUCCAACAUCAAAACUACCAUCAUUAACCAUCCUUCCCCGACAGAUAGCAUUAAUGAACUUGAGGAAGCUAAUGUGGAGGCUAAUGAGUUUGAGGCCUUUAUGGGAAAACUCAAGGGAAAAUCCAAGAAGCACUUUGUUGCUCUCUUGGAACAACUUGGUGAAGCCAAUGACAUGAUCGAGGCUCACGAAGACACCAUCUCUAAGAUGGAAGGGCAUAGUCGUGACUAUGCCGAUGAGAUUUCGGAUCUUUCCAAUGCUCUUGAGGAAGAGCGUGGUCUUCGUUUGGCUCUUGAGGAGUCACACAAUGUUGAUCAUGCUAAGUUAAAGAAAGAUUAUGAUCAUGUCCUCAUUGUUUCUCGUGUGCUAAAUUCCGAGAAGGCCAAACUCGAGGUUGAUCUUGCUAGACUCAAAGAGGAGUUUGAUAUACUUGACAAGGCCCACAAGGUCUUGAAGGGUAUUCACGCUAGUCUCAAGGAGUCUCAUGAUCAACUCCAAGUGAAGCUAACUAAGGAGAAAGCAACUUUUCCUCAUAUGGUUUUAAUUGAUAAUGCAAAUGCUACUAACCCGUGUUGUGAGCAUAUACAUCUUGUUGAGGAAAAUGCGAAGUUGAAGGAGCAACUUGAGAGAGGUCUUGCGACUUGCAUACAAGGCAAGAAGAACCUCAACGAUCUCUUGAUCAACCAAAAGGGAGGUGUGGCCAAGGAAGGGGUUGGGUACGUGCCCGACUCCAAGAACAAGAAGAAGAAUGACAAGACCAAACGACCUCCUCCCCUCAUGCAAACCUUUGUGAGGGAGGGAGAGAGUGCCCCCAAGGAGAAGAAGAAGAACAAUGUCAAGAAGGGCAAUGCCACCCCUCUCAACAAAGCCGGCGAUUUUAACCCUUCUUAUGUGUUAUGCCGUGCUAGUGAUGGGCAUGUUUAUGCCAAAUUUGUUGGUUCUCUUCAUGAAUACAUUGAAUGGUCUAUUUGGGUUCCAAAAACCCUUGUUACUAACAUCAAAGGACCCAUUACAAAAUGGGUACCUAAAACCAAGCAUUGAUCUCUUGUAGGUGUUUGCUUCUGGUGGGGGAUCAUGGUUGCUCGAUAGCGGAGCUAAAAAUCAUAUGACAGGAAGCAAAGACUUGGUGGUGGACGUGCACAAGGUUCCAUCUAUGCCCACCAAUGUCGAGUGGGAUGACGCCUCAUCUUCUAAGGUAUUGGGACUUGUCAAGGUGGUCAUCUCUCAUGAUCUCACGAUCGAGAAGGUCAUGCUUGUUGAGUCCCUUGCGUACAAUUUACUUUCCGUUCGUCAACUUGCUAUCAUGGGCUUUGCCACUUUCUUUGAUAUCGAUACCGUGGACCUCUUGUGGAGCAAGACUCUUAAAGUAGCUUUUGUUGGGCAUGUCGAGAACGGUCUAUAUGUGAUUAAAUUUUCGGAGCGACCCACUAAGACCGCGACAUGCCUAAUGGCUAAAGUUGAUGUGGGAUGGCUUUGGCAUCGCCGUUUAGCCCAUGUCAAUAUGAGAUCUUUGCAAAGUCUCCUCAAGGGGGACCAUGUCCGUGGACUAACGAAUGUUAGUUUUGCUAAAGAUCGUGCUUGCAGUGCCUGUAUCGAAGGAAAGCUACAUGAGAAGGCUCACCCUCCCACUACUAUCAUUUAUUCAAAGAGGCCUUUAGAGCUCCUUCACAUGGAUCUCUUUGGGCCUCCAUCCUUCGAUAGUCUUGGAGGUAGGAAGUAUUGCUUGGUGAUUGUGGAUGACUACUCAAGGUACACGUGGGUGUAUUUCUUCAAGAGGAAGAGCGAGACCCAACAAACCGUCAUUGACUUUGCAAAUGAAGCACAAUGUCAACACAAUGCAAAGAUCUUGACAAUAAGAAGUGACAACGGCACCGAGUUCAAGAACUACACCUUGGAUGAGUUUCUUAGUGACGAGGGGAUCAAGCAUCAAUAUUCCACACCCUACACCCCUCAACAAAACGGUGUUGCGGAGAGGAAGAACCAGACGUUGAUGGAUGCGGCAAGGGCCAUGAUGGCGGAGUUCAAGCCUUCGUACAACUUUUGGGCCGAAGCCAUCAACACCGCGUGUCAUGCAUCAAAUCGGCUCUACCUCCACAAGGGCUUGAACAAGACUCCAUAUGAGAUAGUCACCGGUAACAAGCCCAACCUCAAGUACUUCUGGGUAUUCGGGUGUAAGUGUUUCAUUCUCAAGAAAGGUGUUCGGUUGUCUAAAUUUGAGGCUAGAGCUUAUGAGGGCAUAUUUGUUGGUUAUGCUACAAACUCUCAUGCUUACCAUGUCCUCAAAAUCCACGGGACUUAUUGAGGAGACGUGUAACAUGGUGUUUGAUGAGAAUAACGGCUCCCAAGUGGAGCAAAGUGGCACUUGUGAUGUAGGUGAUGAAAUUCCUCCUCAAGCCAUAAGAAGAAUGGGUGUUGGUUUUAUCCUACCCAUUGAGGAACCCCUUGUGGCCGACGGAGAAGGACAAUGCUCCACUCAAGUGGAGCCAUCACCAACCCAAGGCCCACACGCUUCCGAAGAACAAAGUGAAGGCCCUCAACCUCAUGAACAAGACCAAGGGCAUGAUCAUACUCAAGACGGUGUGGACACACCAAGUGAUGCCCAAGGUCAAGAUCUCCCCCGAGCAAGUUCAAGAUCAAGAACAAGUUCAUGACGGCGCUCAAGAUGAUCAAGUAACCGCUCCUCAACUCACCACCAAGGAGGAAUUAGAGCGUCGUGCCGCCAAGGUUGCUUCCAAGCUCUCCACCAAGGAUCAUCUCAUGACGAAUGUGCUUGGAAGCUUAAGAAAGGGGGUAAGCACUCGUAGAAAAUUAGCAAAUUAUUGUGAGCAUCACGCAUUUGUCUCUUGUGUGGAACCCCACAAGGUCUAUGAGGCGCUAGAAGAUCCGGAUUGGCUCAAUGCCAUGCAUGAAGAACUCAACAACUUCGAGCGCAACAAAGUGUGGAGAUUGGUGCCAAGACCGACCGGAAAUCACAAUGUCAUAGGAACCAAGUGGAUAUUUAAGAACAAGCAAGAUGCCCAUGGAAUCAUCAUUCGCAACAAGGCUCGUUUGGUAGCAUAAGGCUACUCCCAAGUCGAGGGUAUCGACUAUGGUGAAACCUCUGCUCCCGUUGCUCGUCUUGAAUCCAUUCGCAUGUUGAUUGCAUAUGCUUCUCAUCAUAACUUUAAGUUACAACAAAUGGAUGUGAAGAGUGCUUUUCUUAAUGGUCCCAUUAAUGAAUUGGUUUACGUCAAGCAACCCCCUGGUUUCGAGGAUCCCUACUUUCCCGAUCAUGUGUAUCAACUCGAUAAGGCACUCUAUGGCCUUAAACAAGCCCCACGGGCGUGGUAUGACCACCUUACCGAGUUGUUACAAGACCGUGAUUUUGAAGUUGGGCUAAUCGACCCCACUCUUUUUACUAAGAAGGUCAAAGGGGAGUUGUUUGUGUGCCAAUUAUAUGUUGAUGAUAUUAUCUUUGGUUCUCCUAACAAAGCUUUCAAUGAGGAAUUUGCCGCUCUCAUGACCUCAAAGUUCGAGAUGUCCUCCAUGGGAGAGUUGAAGUUCUUUCUAGGGUUCGAAGUGAAGCAAAGAAGAGAAGGAACUUUCAUCAAUCAAUCCAAAUACACUCAAGACAUGCUCAAGAGAUUCAAGCUAAGUGACGUCAAGCCGGCUUCCACUCCAAUGCCCACCAAGUGCCAACUUGACUUAGAUCUCAAUGGUAAAGUGGUGGAUCAAAAGGUAUAUCGUUCCAUGAUUGGAUCCUUGCUUUACCUUUGUGCAUCUAGACUGGACAUCAUGUUGAGUGUGGGAAUUUGUGCACGGUUUCAAGCCGCACCUAAGGAAAGUCACUAUGUGGCAGUCAAACGAAUCUUUCGAUAUUUGGCUCAUACCCCAAACUUUGGCUUAUGGUACCCAAGAGGAUCAAACUUCAAGCUUGUAGGGUACUCGCAUUCCGAUUGGGCGGGAGACAAAGUGGAUAGGAAGUCCACUUCCGGAGGGUGCCAAUUCCUUGGUUGCUCUUUGGUAAGUUGGUCUUCCAAAAAGCAAAGUUGUGUGUCUCUCUUGUCCACCGAAGCGGAGUAUGUGGCGGCCGGUAGUUGUUGUGCACAACUCUUAUGGAUGAGGCAAACUUUAAAGGAUUACGCUGUCACUUGUGACAAAGUGCCUCUUUGGUGUGACAAUGAAAGUGCCAUCAAGAUCUCUCUCAACCCGGUGCAACACUUCAAGACGAAGCAUAUUGAGAUCCGGUAUCACUUCAUCCGGGAUCACAUUAGGCGAGGGGAGAUCAAGCUCAACUACGUCAACACUCAUGAUAACCUUGUAGAUAUCUUCACGAAGCCCUUGGACGAAGCAAGAUUUCGCGAGUUAAGGCAUGAGCUAAAUAUCAUCGAUUCGAGCAAUGUUGCUUGAACCCUUGCACACCCCACCAUACUCAACGUGUUGUCCUAUUUAGAUGUAGGCAUGGACAUAGGGGGAGUGAUGUUCUCUCAAUGAACUCUCCCUCCUCCAUUAUGCAUAAAUCAAUCAAGUCUUUCACAUUAGCCAUGUUUGAUGGUACUUGUGCUUCAAAGACGAGUUUUGGUCAUGGACCCAAGGAUAAUUCUUCGCGGUGCCAUACCAAUUGACUCAAACAUAGGUGCCUACGGCCACCGCCCUCUCUUUUGGAGAGGUGGUGUCUUUCUGGUUUUGUGUGUUGCGUGGUCUUGUGGUGUCGUGUUGGCUCAGAGUGGAUUGUGCAAAGAUCCAGUUUUUCGUGUGCUCGAAACGUGCAUCUUCUUGAGCCCACGGUACUACUGCGUCUGGGCGCGGUACUACGCUUUGGGAGGCACGGUACUACCGCUCUGGUGCGGUACUACCGUGUCUGGGCACGGUACUACCGCGCCGUCAAGGGCGCGUGGGGGGUUAUGACUCGGGCAGGGGAGUUCCAACUCCCCAUACCCAUUCAUUGUCUCUCUCCCCACGUCUCUCCCUCUCAAGAACGGCGCCGGAGGCCCUCGCCGGAUCUCCGUCUCCGGCCACUCUCCUCGGAUUCCGACCGGUGGGAUCGUUCCCCACCACUUCCUCUUGCCAUGGACCAAGGUUUUUCCCCAAAUCCCUCUUUUUCUUGGCUGUUCUCUUGCUUCCUAGGUUUUUGGGGAGAUACUUGUUGUUCUUGAGAUUUUAGGCCAAAUCUAUGCAAGAGUAGGAUGUAGGAGAGUCGUGAUGCGUAGGAAACAUACUUGAUAUGCUGUCUUGUGGUAGCUUUGUCCAACCGUAGUACCGCCGUGGUUUCGCGGGCUUUUUCCAGAUUUGAACCUGUUCAGAUCUAACGCCGCGCGGUACUACCGUGCCUGAUGUGCGGUACUACCGCUCUUGCGGUACUACCGCCCGUCAGGUGCGGUACUACCGUACCGUGCGGUACUACCGCUCUGCAGACGCGGUACUACCGCGCCGGCCGCGACGCUAAGGUCGUACUACUGCUCCUACACCCGGUACUACCGUGAUCUUGCACGGUACUACCACGUCUAAGAGCCGUACUACUAUCUUAGCUCCGCAUCACUUGGCAGUACUACCGCAGGGAUCAAAUCUCUCUCUAGGCAUUUAUCAUGUGUGCUUUCUGCUUGUUUCACUUGCGUUGUUGUGGUCUUUGCAUUAACCUCUCGUGGCUGUUGUGGGUGUUUUUGCGUUCUGUGUCUCAGGUGGUGGCUCUUGCCGUUCCAAUCCCAGUCAUGACACUGGCUCCAAGCAUCUGCGCAACCCCCAAGAUGAAGCCACAGAGGGCUCCAAUGCCCCCAAGCGCAAUGUCAAGACCACUGCCAGCAAGCAAAAGGAACCGGCUAAGGGCAUGGACGAGAUUUCAACCACUAAGUAUGUCGAGCGCUGGAAGAUCAAUCCCUAUGUGAAUCCUCGGGCUAUCCUCAGAGGCACCGAGUUGUUCUGGACCAAGCAACAUGCUCUCAUCUAUCUGGAUGUGAUCAAGAACAAGCAGAAUACCUUCGUGGAUGUCAAGUGGAUAGACAUGCAUCACCUGCGGAAGGACAAGUUUCGUGACUAUUUUGGAGAGGCUCUGGACUUGGUGGAGCAGUUUGCUAUUGAGCCGGUGAUCUCCUUUCACCUUGACUAUGACCCUGAGCUCAUCUGUCAGUUCUUUGCAUCAGUGUACUUUCAUCCCGGGGAGUAGCGGAGGAUGACCUGGAUGACCAAUGGCCGUCAGCUGUCUGCUGCAUGGAAAGAGUUCAUGGAUCUGCUGCACAUUCCUGAUGAUGGGCUUCACACCCCCGUUGGCGUUCGCCCCCAUGCCAACUCUGAGUCUGCCAACAAGAACCAGCUUCAGCCCUUCCUUGUUGAGAAGGUACUCCCCAAUGGCAAGUCAUCUUGGGUGUUAAACUCCUUUCUGGAUAUCAUGCAUCGCAUCUUCCACAACACUCUGUUCCCACGCAUUGGCGACAAGGACAAGGUACAUGCAUAUCUAGUGGACAUGUUGCUCUUGUGUGCAGAGGCACAUUCUUCUCAGACUCAGCCACUUGAUGUCUCACACAUCAUGUGGUGUGAGCUUCGGUUUGCGGUGUUCACUCGCAAGGUACCUAUCUAUGGACUGUACCUGUUUCUGCUGCUCUCCACCACUUGGGAGAAGACGUAUCCAGGUGAUGAGUUCCUUGCUCCAGACUGGAUUCGCCAUGAGUCCAUCAGCCUCCGCGUCAAGCCCAACUGGGCCAACACCACUACCCGUGCUGAGGCAUCUUCUGCUAGGAGGGCUGCUGGUGAGGGGGAGGCUGCUGCUGCUGAGACUGUUGCUGAGGACCGUGCUGCUAGGUCCACCACUUCUUCCUCUGAGCCGUCAUGGGCCAAGAAGCUGAAGGACAAGAUGAAGACUCUCUUCUGCAUGCAGGCGAAGGGAUAGUACAGGGCUCACGUGGCUGACAAGAAGGUGAUGAGGCUCUAUGGAGAGGAUGUGUCUGGCGGGUCUGAGGAUGUCAUCACACCUGAGGCUGCCUGGAUGUCAAAGCAGGGCUACAAGUGGAUCAGUUCAGAGGAUGACCUCGAGGAGACUAUCCCCGCCGCUGAGUCUGACGAGGAGCACGAGGAGCAGUGGGACGACUUCUCUGCCUGAGCCACCCCAUGUGUGUAGGUGUCCUCUCUGCCUUUUUGGCGUCUCGAUGCCAAAGGGGGAGAGAGUGUAGGGAUUUGCGUUGUGUCGUGCUUGGUGUGUUUGUUUGCUUUGUCGUUUGGACCUCGUUUGCCUCGUUUGCUUUUGUUUGGUUUGUGCCUUCGAGACCUAUCCUCCAUAUGGUGUAAGACAUAUGCACUCUAUCUAUCUAAGUUAUCUUAUGUUUGUACUAUCUUGUCUAGUGAUAGAUAUGCCUUGUCUCUAUAAUAUAGGGGGAGCUCUGUUCCUAGUAUUCGUGCUCAUCUAGGUGGAACACAUUUAGGGGGAGCCCGUCUAUAUUAUAGAGAGGAGGGGUUUGCAUUUACUUAAUAGUAUUUUCUUUGUGCAAAUAUCGUUUUGUCAUCAAUCCACCAAAAAGGGGGAGAUUGUAAGGACAUAUUUAUCCCUAAGUGUUUUGGUGAUUGAUGACAAUGCAUUUGCGGACUAAUCGUGUGCCAUGAGUAUUCCAGACACGUCUUUGCUAGGCACAAGACGAUUGGGUGCCCCUCGAAGACUGACGAAGACGGCGUCUUUUCUACGUUUCUUUUUGGUGGAUUUGAGUCGUAGGAAAGCCGUACUAUUAAGAGGGGGUCCGCGUUGGAAAGGUUUGGGUGGAAUCAUCACGUACAUGUCUCCUUUUAUCCCCUCCUUCUUCCUUGGAGCUUCCUCCGUUUUCCUGCCUCCUGUCACUAGCUGCUAUUGUGGUUGCAGUAGUACGGCUCCUGGAUCAACGGUAGUACCGUAGGCAUCCACGGUAGUACCGCGCGGUGGCGCGGUAGUACCGCUGGUGCCCACAGUAGUACCGCUCCCCUGGAUCCGCACUAUCGCUGCCCACCAGGCUAGUGCCGCCUCUUUGCGGUAGUAGGAGCGGAUGUAAUUUUUUACAUCCGCACCUGCCGCGGUAGUACCGCUUUCGCCGUGCGGUAGUACCGCGCUAUGCGGUCAGGCAGUAGUACCGCCCCUCGGCAGUACUACUGUGUCGGGUUUUUGCUACUUCCGUUUUUUUGCGAAAGUAGGCAAGGAAGUUUCCCUUCCCCCUGGCUGGGACUUUUGCCUUGCGGUAGUACCGCAUGGGGGGCGCGGUAGUACCACGCGUGCAGAAGUACCACCCCCAGCUUCUGUGCGUCUGUUUCUGUGCUGGGGUCGCGGCAGUACCGUGGGUCAUUACGGUAGUAUCGCACAGCCAUGCAGUAGUACUGCUUGGUUGCAAGCAGUAGUACUGCGCGGCCUUGCGGUAGUACCGCUGGCCAGGCGCGGUAGUACCGCUGGCCGCGGGCUGGUUGGUGUGUAACGGUUGGAUUUUUUCCACACACUAUAUAAGGGGUCUCCUUCUUCCCCGUUGACUUACCUCUUCCACCAUUAAAGCUCCAUUAUUGCUCCAAGCUCCAUUUUCACCCGAUCUCACUCCCUAGCCAACCAAACUUGUUCAUUUGCUCGGGAGUGGUUGAGAAGGCCCCGAUCUACACUUCUACCAAGAGAUAUUUGAUUCCCCCUACUAAUCCCUUGCGGAUCUUCUUACUCUUGGGUGUUUGAGCAUCCUAGACGGUUGAGGUCACCGCGAAGCCAUAUUCCAUUGUGGUGAAGCUUCGUGGUGUCGUUGGGAGCCUCCAAUUGAGUUGUGGAGAUUGGCCCAACCUCGUUUGUAAAGGUUCGGUCGCCGCCUCCAAGGGCACCAAUAGUGGAAUCACGGCAUCUCGCAUUGUGUGAGGGCGUGAGGAGAUUACGGUGGCCCUAGUGGCUUCUUGGGGAGCAUUGUGCCUCCACACCGCUCCAACGGAGACGUACUUCUUCUCAAAGGGAAGGAACUUCGGCAACACAUCCUCGUCUCCACCGUCUCCACUCUUGGUUAUCUCGUGCCUUUACUUGUGUAGCUUAUUUGUUUCAUAUAUCUUGCUUGCUUGUGUUCCUAUUCGUGUUGCAUUAUAUAGGUUGCUCAUCUAGUUGCAUAUUUAGACAACCUACUUUGAUGCAAAGUUUAAAUUGCUAAAGAAAAGCUAAAAUUUGUUAGUUGCCUAUUCACCCCCCUCUAGUCAACCAUAUCGAUCCUUUCAAAGACUUACCACAAGUGAUUGGGUGAGGUCUGUGUGACCUUAGCUCAAGGAGAAUACGGUGAGGACUGUGUGUCCUCAGGUUUAAAUACCUAGCCGCUCCAACCAGAUGUACAAUAGAGACAACAGUUGAACUGGUCUAUCAAAUCAUUGUCUUCACCAAGCUCACUGGUUCUAUUUCCUCAACUCUUUCAUUUCCUCAUAACUGUGUUGAGUGCUUGUUCGUAUCUGUGUUUGAAGACUUUGACUGAAGACUUUCUCAAUUUCCUCAGUUCAAUUUCUUCAGUGUGUUUGUCUUCAUACUGUGUUAUCCUGUGUUUACGCUUUCUGUACUCUGUGCUUGUCUUCUUUUCAUCAUGAUGACUAUGCUUGUGUUCUGUUAUGUUUACUUUUGAGUACUUACUCUGCUGCUAGUAGUUCUUCGCUAAGGAAUUUCCUCACCUGCAAAUUCCCCAGUGAAGAAUUCAUAAAAAUCGCCUAUUCACGCCCCUCUAGUCGAUAUAACGCACUUUCACUUUGUCCAUAGCUUAGUAUGUAUGUAGAACAUGCCAAAUUUUGGUAGUCAGAUGCCAUGUAUUGAUAUAGUAGCUGGAUGUCCAGCUGUAUCAGAAGUUUAUGAUGCAUGUGUAAUAUGGAUUUGAGGUGUGACUGGUCACUGUCCCUGGACGUGCCCAAUCACGUCCACGGACGUUUGAGGGCGCGGAUUUAGUGUAUUCGGUUGUACAUGCUCUAAUGAAGUUGUGAACAUAGGAAAUCCUAAAAUAAAUUCCAAAAAUAUGAACCCGUGUUUAAGAAAAAACUUAACAUGUUUCUUACUUAAAGUUCAAGAUUACAAGGAGAUAAACCACCUAUGGGGGUGGGUUAGCCAUACAUGCUAACGUGCAACCUCAUGGAUGCACCUAUGAGAUAGAGAGUAUGUUCCUUCGUUCGAUGACCAGGCUUCAAAGAUGAUCUUUGCACUCUGAAAAGAGAGUAAAUUCUCUAUGAUGCCACAUACGAUAUGGGCAUAAGCGCCUUUAGUUCCUUCUUUCAGGCUUAUGACUGCUCCUUGACAAUUUCUGGCUACCAAAAUCUUCCAAGCGACGAUCUCCAUAGCGAGACAUACAAAUUAUUUACAACGCGAGACUUCAAGUGUUUUCGCUCCCCUCAAGAACAAUUGUUGAGGCUCAUUUAUAGACAACCUUGUUACUCUUGCAACAACAACUAUCGAAUCCCUAUGUUGGUUCUUCCCCACUGGUGCAUCGACCGUAAUUUUGAUCACUCCCGCCGGCGGUGCAACCUGGUUUUCCUCAAACACCGCUGAUAUAGAAUGUUUAUUCCCUGUUGUUAUGUACUACCUAUUCAAUGUCAUGUACAUAGCACUAGACAAAUGAAUGAAAUGAUAAAGAGUGUUGCUAGAUCUCUUCAUGUAAAGCUUUACGUCUUGCAAACAAAAUGAACCACAAGGUAACGCAACAUUUCACACGUCCCUUUGGCCCCAAUGUCUCAAUUGUGUUAUUGAUGAAGUCGCGUGGGGAGUACUCAGCCGACGUGCUUAUGUGCUCUACCAGGAACUCAUCUGCCAGUGCCCCCACACACCGCAUAACAUUGCAUUCGAUGAGAGAGUGUCUCCAAGAGUCCUUCUCCCCAUGUGAUGUGCACAUACCAUUUGGGUCAUGUUUAGGCAAUGUUGUAUGUUCGCUCUCGGUAAUGUGUACUUUUCUGAUAACCAAAGAUAAAGCCCGAUAUUUUUUGGUACCUUAUCUCGCCAUAGAGUUAUACACUGUUUUACUUGUUAGGAUGAGUCUGUCGGAAAUAUGCCAUGGGGACAAUAGUAAAUGUAUUAUUAUAUUUUCAUGCUCAUAAUUAAGUUUAUAUUUCUAUGCUAUAAUUGUAUUGGUUCUUGAAUAUGAUAUUUGAAGAAAACCCAAUUACAUGUAUCCAAACAUAAACACCAAUAUGAUCCCUAGUCACGACUUUAAAUUAUAACCUUACAUGUACACCUCUAUCAACUUUCAAAAAUACCUGAAGCUCUAGUCUAAGUAUUACUGCCUGAUACGUCUUCAACGUAUCUAUAAUUUAUGAAGUAUUCAUGCUGCUAUAUUAUCAUUCUUGGAUGUUUUAGAAUCAUUUUAUAACAACUUUAUAUUAUUUUUUAGGACUAAUCUAUUGACAUAGUGCCUAGUGCCAGUUGCUAUUUUUUGCUUGUUUUUUACAUCGCAGAAAAUCAAUAUCAAACGGAGUCCAAACGCAGCAAAACUUAUUGGAGAUUUUUUUGAACCAAAAGACAUCCAGUGAACCAAAGAAGUACCAAAGGGGUGCUCCGAGGGGGGCACAACCCACCUGGGCGCGCCUGGUUGUGCCCACCUCGGUGGCCUCCCGCACCGCCUCUUCGCCCUAUAAAUUAUAAAAUAUUCCAAAACCCCCGGGGAUAACCCUAGAUCAGAAGUUUCGCCGCCGCAAGCCUGUGUAGCCAUGAGAAACCAAUCUAGACCCGUUCCGGCGCUCCGCCGGAGGGAGAAAUCAUCACCAGCGGCCAUCUUCAUCAUCCCGGUGGCCACCAUGAUGUGGAGGGAGUAGUCCACCCUCGGGGCUGAGGGUUUGUACCAGUAGCUAUGUUUAAUCUCUCUCUCUCUCUCUCGCGUUCUUGAGAUGUCAUGAUCUUGAUGUAUCGUGGGCUUUGUUAAUAUAGUUGGAUCAUAUGGUGUUUCUCCCUCUCUAUGUUGUUGUGAUGAAUUGAGUUUUCCCUUUGAGAUUUUGUUUUAUCGGAUUGAAUACUUUUAUGAAUUUUGGAGCACUUGAUAUAUGUCUUGCAUAUGGAUAUCCGUGGUGACAAUGGGGUAUUAUAUUGAUUCACUUGAUAUAUGUUUUGGCCCUCAACUCGCGGAUUCCCGAGGUAACAUUGGGGUAAUAUAUGCGUACGGGUUGAUGCACGUUCUCGUCUUUUGUUUCUCCGGUAGAAAUCUUGGGGCACUCUUUGAGGUUCUUUGUGUUGGAUUGAGUAUUAUGAAUCUGAGUUUGCUUUGGUGUUAUUUUAGUACGAUCUCUUGAUAGAUCGAUCGGAAAGAAUAACUUGGUGUUAUUUUAGUAUGAUCUCUUGAUAGAUCGAUCGGAAAGAAUAGCUACAAACAAUUUCUUCUUAUGUUCUCCGCUAGAUAAGAACUUUAGAGUGAUUCUUCGUUGCACGUUGAGGGAUGGUUAUGUGAUCCAAUUAAAUUAGCAUUGUUGAGAGAUUGCACUAGAAAAAGUACGGACCCUAGGCCUCAUUUUCAAGCAUUGCAAUACCGUUUGUGCUCACUUUUGUUACUUGCUACCUUGCUGUUUUUAUUGUUCCUAUUACAAAAAUCAAUAUCUACUACCAUUACUACAUUUUUAUUACCAUCUCUUCGCCGAACUAGUGCACCUAUACAAAUUAUCAUUGUAUUUGGUGUGUUGGGGACACAAGAGACUUUUUAUUUGGUUGCAGGGUUGUUUGAGAGAGACCAUCUUCAUCCUACACCUCCCACAGAUUGAUAAACCUUAGGUCAUCCACUUGAGGGAAAAUUGCUAUUGUCCUACAAAACUCUGUGCUUGGAGGCCCAACACGUGUCUACAAGAAUAAAGUUGCGUAGUAUACAUCACUGCCCAUUUAGAGUUCUUGAGAAAAUUGAAGAAGUUUCUUACAACUGCUCGUGCCCGUCGAAUGGAAGCCACAUUGUACUUUCCAUGUCACCCAAUCUUCUAUAUCUAAAUAGCUAGCCCCCACUAACUAUUUCUCUCAACAUGCAAGCAUGCCACAUUAUCACACAACAUGCAUGGGAAAAGGCCCACCCCCACUACCAUAUGUCUUUUAACAUGCAAGCAUGCCACUUGAUCGUGAAAUAUGCAUGAAAAAAGACACAUCUCAACAUGCAAAUGGAGAUGAGAAUUUUAAUUCUAUUAUGCUAUUUAUACAUUUUACAUUUAUAUAGUAAUCAAACAUAAUAAAUUAUAUGUAUUUUUAGUUUUAGCCUUUUAUAUUAUUGCUUCAAAUAUUCAUGUUUCAUACAAUGAAUCACACUGAAAUGUGUUGCAUAAUAUUCCCGCAACAACAUGCGGGGUAUCAUCUAGUUGAAGAAGCAUUUAGCCCCCAAAGAAAUACCUACUACUCGACUACCUCUCAUCAACUAGGAUGGAUUAAUAUUGCUGGAUCCAGAGAAGCUCUUGGAACACACACUUAUACCUCGAUCUCAGGGGGAUAUUAACAUUCCAGUGGUUAUGUGGUUCAUCAAGUGGCUCAAUUUACCAGAGUCUGAAGCCACUUGGGAAUAUGCAACGUUCAUUGAGGAUAAGUCUAUUGUUCGGGGGGAGUUGUAAGGACAUGCAUAUCUAUUUUUGAAUAAAGCAACUCAUGCCACCGGGUUCAGCUAAGUUUGAAUCGUUUUCUUUUGGGGAGAAGCACUCUAGGCCAUACAUCUGCCAUCGAACAUGCUACCGUCUACCUACCGCUUCAUAGAGAAGGGAGAACGAGAAGAUGUUGAUCGGCCAUCGGACGGCUGAGGAUCCCGAGCGCGUCAUUGUUCCCUUUCCCGCAAAAAGGUCUACAAUGCUUAACUACCAAGCUACUUUUCUUUCGUUUCUUCCACUCAUUUGUAAGGCUACAAAGCUAGGAUUCUAGAACCUCCGAGCUCAUUCUCUUUGCUUUGGAGUAAACCCUAGACGCUAGUGUCCCUGGCAGGCCCAUAUGUGUAUACAAACUCGCUAAGAAUUCCUCGCAAUCGACCCCCAAAUUAGCUAUGUCCUAUGAGUUCAGUUCUUGUUUUCUGAAUCUAGUUCAUUAGACCACUUGGGUGUGAAAAAUACUAUCUAGAGAAAGAGUAGCUAGAGCAAGAGGGCUAGUUCUCCAACACUUAGAGAAAUGGCCUUGUAGUACAUCAGUAACGAGGGAGGGUCGAAACAAAAGAACAUCCCGACUUCCCGAGGGCCUUUUUUUAUAUAGUAGAGAUAUCCCGAGGGCCUUUGCAUAACGGGGGGGGGGGGUUAAUUUCCACUCCGCCGUCGGCCGUCACAUCACUAGUCCACUGAUGCCAACGACGUGGAUUGAUCACCCUACAUUAAUCAAGACCGAAUAAACUUCCCGUCUGCCCCCCUCAAUAUCCCUAGCCGAUUUACCGCCGUGCGCCGCCACCCUAGUUGUGGAGGUACGCCGGAGCUCUACCUUCUCCCUCCCCGGCAUUUUAGGAUAUAUGUGUUAGCUUUUCUUACCAAAAUUGGGAGCCUACUACAAUCUACGAGUCACCUCCAAUUCAAAUGCUAUAAAAACCCUUGCUUCAUCCCCUUUCUACCCUGCAGUAGUGUAGCUAGGAUUCCGAGUCAGGGUGGUCUAAGACAACAAUUUUCCCCCCAAAUGGUACAUGCCAAUAAAAUAGUGUAUAACUUGUCAAAAGCACAUACUGAUAAUAUCUUCAAAGCACAUUGAAAUUUAUGAUUAAAUCUUUCUUUUGAGGAGUUUACGAUUAGAUCUUAAUUAUGCAGAAAAGAAGCCAUUACAUCUUAUUGGUAGGAAUAAUAACAUCCUCUCAUGGCCAUCAAAGUCUCAAUUAUACCUUCUUCCUUCGAUUUGGAGAAAAGAUCAUGUUGAGCUUCAAAAGAGACACACUAUCUUUGGUCCUCUUCGUUUUGCAACAACUUUACAUUAAAAUCUUCAAUUUGCCAAUUCCUAAUCGGACGAACCCAUAGUAAUCGAUCAACACAACUACUCCCUCCAUUCCUAAAUAUAAGUAUUUUUAAAGAUUUCAACAAGUGACUACAUACAGAGCAAAGUGAAUGAAUCUAUGCUCUAAAAUAUGUCUACAUACAUCCAUAUGUUGUAGUCCAUUUGAAAUGUCUAAAAAGACUUAUAUUUAGGAACGGAGGAAGUACAAGUUUACAAACAUUAUAGAACAAUUAACUUAAGUUAACCUCUUUCCUCAUUUGGGAAGACUAUGUGGCUCCGAUUCCUCUGAAAACCAUCGGGAGCAGGACACCGCUACAGUCGUUUCUUGGCUUUUUUAGACAAUCUCAUGAAGCUUUUUUUUAAAAUCAUGAAGCUUUUAUUAGUUCAUCCUAAUAUUUAGCUACGCGUCCGCCGGUGGAUUUAUUGAAAACAUCCACCGCCUCCAACGCCGCUGGAUUGAGCCAUAAAUAGUCGCUGGAUCUUCACAAUGAGGUUUGUCGCGAAUUGCAACAAGGUAGAUGUUGCAGAGCUCGCACUGCAACAACUGCUUUGUUGCGAAACCACCGACUCAUCAUUUUUGCCCAAAAAUUGAUUUUAUCUUCACCUUUUUUGCAACAUAGAUGAUUUUGUGGGAGAACUUUUGCAACAGAGAUGGUGUUGUGGAAUUAUUAUUUUUGUCUUUCACCUUUUUUGCAACAACAAUGGUGUUGCAGAAUUAUUGUUUUUAUCUUUCACCUUUUUUGCAACAUAGAUGAUGUUGCGGGAGGACAUUUGCAACAUGAAGCAUGUUGCGGAAAAAUAAUUCACUGAAAAUGACGAUGUCAUCUGCGGUGUACAUUGAGGAAUUUCUGAAACAAAGGUGAUGUUGCGGGAGGAUUUUUGCAACAAGGCCCUUGUUGCGGAAAGUAUAAAAAAGCAUCUCCAAUGGAAACGACGAUGGAGGGUGAGAUGGGAGGCCAAAGCGGCACAGAUGGACCGAUGAUGGCCGGAGUGGAGCUCGUGCUUGCGCGCUCGAGCGGCGGCCAUGGCUGCGGGCUAGGGAGCGCUAGGAGAGAAGAAAGGACAACCAGCGGCAUCCUCCAACGAUCACCGGCGGCGGCCUUGCGGUGGCGGUCCUGGAGCAUGGCUGCAGGCGAGAGGGUGAGCAACAUUGAGAGAGGAAGGGGAAAAUAACAAAUGGAUAAGAAGCAUGAAGAGUGGAUAAGGAUAAGGACACGUGGUAAAUGUACGAGAUGCGGACGCGGUGCCUAUAAUCCACCGGUUGAUGGGAAACUUUUCCCAAUAUUUAGAGGGAUGAAAGGGAGAUCAUCGAGCUGGCCUAACCCAGGAGCAAGGACUAGUUAAAGUGAGCCAUGAGGCCGACCUGGGCUAUGGGCUUGGCCGCUUGUGUUAGUUGGGAUGCUGUUUUUUUUCUUGAAGAAAAUGGUACUUAGGGGUGAAGUAUAUGGGCUUUCGGCUGCAAAAUUCCAGGGUGGACUUCACUGUUCUGACCCCUCAGAAAAAGAAAAACCCUGGCCACCCUCUGGUAGUGCUGCCUGCCCUGAUCGUCCGCCGCCCGUCCCUGUCCUCAAAACCCUAGCUCGCCCUAAACCGUGGCACCCACCACCGCCCCUCAUCCUGCGCCGGCGUUCGUCUUCCGAAGCGCAGGAGGGCCUUUGAUCGAUCUAGGUCAGACCUCACCGACCGGCACGCUGUGCUCACAACUCACAUACCCUAUGUCAGACCCAGGUGGUCUGAAGAACACGAUUCAGCGAAGAGAAUACCGAACUAGUCUGAUUUAGCCAAUUUCAGAGGAAAGAUUAAGCGAGUCUAGCUCAUUACAGAGGUUCUAGCUGGCCAGGAACACUGGCGGCGGCAAGGGGGAAACCCUAACAAUAUCAAGAUACCAACUCCCGAUCCUGGCUCCUGGCUUUAUAGCCUUACAAAGUGGAGUAAAAAUGAAGAGAAAAGCAUAAAGAAAGAGGGAGUGGCUGUGGUCUUUACCGGAAAGUGAACAGCGACAGCCAGGGCAAUCACCACCACACGGUGAAGAUCGGACGCUCGUCGGGUCAUCAUAACUGGCGAAGCGGUACGACGACGCCUUGGCCGUGCGAUCGAUGAUGGGUGGCUCCUGACGUUUCCCGCCUGUUAGAAUGGGUUUCAAAUGACUGAAUCCAGGUUCCAGUGUUCUGAACUGCAGAUAGAGUAACUUGGGUCCUGACAACUCCCCCUGUUCUAGAUCAGACCUGUCCUCAGGGCUGGAAAUUGGGAAACACUUUUUGUAUGAAUGUGGCGUCCUCCCAAGUGGCUCAUCCAGAGGUAGAUUACUCCAUUUGAUGAGCCAUCGAACAACCGGAAUGCUGAUGUUGCCCUAUACACGCGGUACUAGCUUUCUUUCCAGCAAUUGUUCUGGUUCCAGUAAGAUUGUUCCAUCCGGAUUGACCAAGGGAAGCUUGGGGUUUGGAAUUGCCAUGGGGCCAAUAUGCUUCUUGAGCUGGCUCACAUGAAAAGUAUCAUGUAGCUUGCAAUCAUCAGGGAGGAGGAGCUUGUAAGCGGCAACACCAACUUUCUGAAUAACUCUGAAUGGGCCAUAAAAUUUGGAGUGCAGCUUGAGACAUUUGUGGAUGCUGAGAGUGGUAUGCCUGUAAGGUUGCAGUUUUAGGUAGACCAUGUCACCAACUUCCAAGGUUCUCUUAGAUCUCUUCUUGUCAGCAUAAUGUUUCAUUCUGGUUUGAGCUCUCAGGAGGUUUUCUUUAAUAUGUGCUGCGGUUUGUUCAGCAGUGAGCACCUCAGGGAAAUGUUCCAUUUCAUACAUAGGGUAAAGAGCAGCUUCAGCUAACAUACGGGGAGGUCUGCCAUACAAAGCCUGGAAGGGAGUGAUCUGGAGAGCUGUGUGGUAGCUAGUGUUGUACCAUCACUCAGCUAAGGACAACUAGUUGAGCCACUUUUGUGGUUGGAUGAAAGCCAUGCAUCUCAGAUAAUUUUCCAGACAUUGAUUAACUCUUUCUGUCUGGUCAUCUGACUGGGGGUGAUAAGAAGUGCUCAUGUGUAACUUGAUGCCCAACUUCUUAAACAAGUCCUGCCAGAGCUUGCUAGUGAAGAUUUUGUCUCUGUCUAUAACAAUCACAUCUGGUAGUCCAUGGAGUUUGAAAAUGUUAUUAGUGAAAGCCUUGGCUACAGUAUUAGCUGUAAUGGGGUGCUUCAUGGGGAUAAAGUGGCUGUAUUUAGUGAACCUGUCCACCACAACCAGGAUCAUGUUCUUGUUGUGAGAAGUAGGAAGACCCUCCACAAAAUCCAUGCUUAUGUGGCACCAAGCAAAGUCUGGGACUGGUAGAGGUUGGAGCAGCCCAGGGUACUUGCAGCGUUCAGCUUUGUUGAUUUGGCAGGUAGGGCAUUGUUUAAUAUAAUCAACAAUAAAUUGCUUCAUGCCAGGCCAAUGGAACAGGAGCUUAACUCUUUGGUAUGUAGCACUAUGUCCAGAAUGGCCACCUAGUUCAGAGCUAUGUAAAGCAGCUAGUAGUUUGGUUUUGAUGGUGUUAUCAGCUCCUAUGACUAUUCUGUUUUUGUAUCUAAGCAAACCUUGUUGCACAGUGUAUUGGUCACAGAAUUAGGAUUUACAGUCAACUGAGCUAACAAAUCCUUGCAUCUCUGAUCAUUUUUGUAGCUGUCAAUUACUUCAGUUACCCAAGCAGGUUUGACAGUAGAAGCUAUGGGAGCAUGUAUUUUGUGGUGUACCCUGGAAAGGGCAUCAACCACUUUGUUUUUCUUCCCUUGUUUGUAUUCCACAGUGUAGUUAUAACCAAGGAGUUUGACCAGAAGCUUGUGCUGAAUUCCCUUAGUGAGUUUUUGUUCUUGUAUAUAUUUCAGACUCUGCUGGUUAGUUCUGAUGAUGAGUGAAGAUGCAGCAAAAUAAUGUUUCCAAUGCUUGAGAGCUUCAAUGAUUGCUAGUGCUUCUUUGUCAUAAGUGGAAUAAGCAGCUGCUCUAGGGCCAAUUGCUUUACUGAAAAGCGAAAUAGGUCUCCCUUCUUGCAUUAGAACUGCACCCAACCCAUAGGCACAAGCAUCUGUUUCCAAGAUGAAAGGCUUGGAGAAGUCUGGUAGGGCCAAUACUGGGGCUUGUGUCAUUUUGUUCUUCAGGGUAUUGAAAGACUGAACUUGCUCUUGCCCCCAGGUGAAGAUGUCCUUCUUCAGAGAGUUAUACAGUGGCCUACAAAUGAGCCCAUAAUUUUCCAUAGAUCUUCUAUAGUAACCAGUCAACCCUAAAAAGCUCCAUAGCUGUGCGACAUUUUCAGGUUCUGGCCAUUCACUACAAAAAAAGACACAUCCGUGACAUUUUGGGCCGAACAAAAUUUUUUCUGUCAUACAUAUGCCACUUCUAUGACGAUAAUUGUGACAAAACCCGGUAUCAUCAUAGAUGUGGUGGGCUCCUACUUCUAUGACAAAAAAUCAUGACAUAAAAUGGGAUUUUUGUCUUGGGCGGACCAGAGACGCAGCUGCAUGACAUUCUUUGGGCCGUCCAUGACGGAAAAAACCAUGGUAGAAGCGAGGGGGAGGGAAAUUUUGGGGAGUUCCCGGUUACGGUGGGAGGUCGGGGGCCGAGCGAUGCGCGUUUCUCUCGUACACGUAUGCAUGUGUGUGCGAGGCGUUGGCUCUAACUGAACCCGAGCGAGCCGUUGGGCUCUAAUUGAACCCGAGCGAUCGCACUGCAGGCUACGCAUUACUGAACCCGAGCGAUCGAUCGAUGGAUGUUAACUGAACCCGAUCAAGCGAUUCCUUCGCUACUGCUGCUAACUGAAGCCGAUCGAUGUUGCCUCUGGGAUGAACAAUGAGCGGUGGCGUUGCCUCUGGAUGAACAGGACCCCGUGGUGUGGUGGAGGGCUGGAUGAACAGUAGACGGUGGAGGGGUGCCCGUGGAGGGGUGGUUGAACAUGACCCCGUGGUGUGGAGGGCUGGAUGAACAGUAGACGGUGGAGGGGUGGUUGAACAGUAGCCGGUGGAGUAGCGCACGGUGGAGGCUAGAUGAACAGGAGCCCAUGGAGGCUGGACGAGGUCGACGGUAGCCCGUGGAGGCUGGAGGAGGUCGACAGUGGAGAUGAACAGUAUCCCACGGAGUCCCGUUUUACGGUACGCCACACCCCUCCCGAUGAACAGGACCCCCGUUUCGACCGUAGGAUGUCCGUUUCGUCCGUUUUGCGGUACGACACACCCCUCCCGAUCAACAGGACCCCUGUUUCGACCGUAGGAGGUCCGUUUCGUCCGUUUUGCGGUACGCCACACCCCUCCCGAUCAACAGGACCCCCGUUUCGACCGUAGGAGGUCUGUUUCCUCCUUUUUGCGAUACGCCAGACCCCUCCCGAUCAACAGGACCCCGUUCAGGCCUCGUUUCCAUCGCCUAUUCCGUCCAAGCCCUCCCGAUGAACACGACCACGCAUUCCGUUCCGACCUAGCCGGUUGGCUCCCACGCGUUCCGUUGCCUCCCGAUGAACAUGACGCAUUCCGUUGCCUCCCCAUGAACACGACGCAUUCCGUUGCCUCCCCAUGAACACGACAACGACGCUGUUUCUCCGUUCCGACCCAGCCAUGUACACGAGCCCUGGCCGUACGUAUGCGCGAGUAGGUGUUCGAGAGCCUGCCCGUAUGUACAUACGUGGCCGUAUUUUCUUUCUUGCACCCUGGCCGCUGUACAUACGUGUACAUGCUACGUGCGCGCCUCUAAUACGACACGUGCGCGCCUCUACUACGACACGUGCACACCUCUACAUCGACCAGUAUAUAUGUACGUACACGUUCGUGACCAGAAUGACAACGCUACGUAUGCUUCAACCAGGUGGGUCUCGACUGUCAGGCACUUCCUUACGUACGAAGAUGUAGUUGGUGGGUCUCAGCAGUCAGGGGGCGAAUCGUUUUGUUUUUUUGCCCGGACGCACUUCCUUGCAUGCGAAGGUGCAGCUGGUGGGUCCCAGCAGUCAGGGGGAAAUGUUUUUUUCGUGAAAUAUGGUGGCCCGUCCGGUGGGUCCCUGCAAUAAUUAUUUUGCAUGUAAUAAGGGGGCACUUCCUUGCUGCGGCCAUGGACCCAGCUGUCAGCCUCUCCAUGUACAUUCCACGUCCGAUGGAAGCCGUUCCUUGACCACGUUGACCACGCCGUGCCGAGAGCACCAGGGUGGUGGACGACGGCAAGGCCUAGGAAGGGGACGAUGCGGAGCCGGGGAAGACGCGGCAGUGGAUGCCCACGCAUAGAGGAGUACGAGGGUUCACUGGUUUGCUGUGGUGUGAGGCUACCGUCACCGCAGAAUAACAUGGGGUGUGGGUGAGUAGAGGGAUGGUCUGGCCAGCGGUGGGAGUAGUAGGGGGCGGUGAGGCCUCCGCCGCAUCGCAUACGGCCACGGGAGGCAGGAGCACGAGGCACGACCGGCGCUGGUUUGGGCGGCUGGAGCAAGAAGACCAGAGGUUGAAGAAGCACUACGGCCGUUGGAUGGACAUCGUACGGUCACUGGAGCUAGAAUCGUGCAUAUAUUGACUAACUUGACAAAGCCCUCCGUCCCCGUCAACUUAGUAGGCCCACAAGUCAGCCUGCCACUAUACUGGGUCCCAGCUAAUAGGGGGAGUAUUCAUUUUUUUGUGCGUAAUAAGGAGGCACUUCCUUGCGUGUGAAGAUAUAGCUGGUGGGCCCGAGCUGUCAGCGGCGAUAAUGUUUUUUUUCACGAAAUACAGAGGCCCUUUCGAUGGGUCCCUGAUGUCAGGUGGAGGAAUCAUUAUUUUGCGCGUAAUAAGGAGGCAUUUCCUUGUGUGCGGCCAUGGACCCAGCUGUCGGCCUCUCCACGUACAGUCCACUUCAGAUGCAUGUCAGUCGUUGACCACGUUGACCAGGCCGCGCCGAGAGCACCAGGGCGGUGGACGACGGCGCGGCCUAGGAAGGGAACGACACGGAGGCAGGGAAGACUCGGCAGUUGUUUCCCACGCGGAGGGGAGUACGACUGUACGAGGGUUUACUGGUUCAUCUGCCGUCGCCGGAGAAUAACAACAGGUGUGGGUGAGUAGAGGGAUGGCUAGGCCAGCGAUGGGAGUACCGUGGGGUGGUGAGGCCUGCGCGGCAGCACAGCCGGCCACGGGGAGGAGGGAGUAGACAGUCCUCCCACCGGCGCUUGUUUGAGCGGCUGGAGCAGGAAGAGCAGAGAUUGAAGAAGCACAACGGCCAUUCGAUGGACAUCCAACAGUCAUUGCUUGUGCGUCAACCUUUUUUUAGGAAAGCCUCAAAUCUGUGCAAAACAACAUACAAUCCAUUUGCUAAUUCUUAAGGUUUUUUUGGAGCCCAUAUUCCUUUUGUUAGCAUUACAGCCCAUAUUGUGGCCACGGUUAAAAAAUUAUAGGAAAUUUGCAUAUUUCGGUGCGGUCCGAACUGUUUUUAAUCCUGAAAUUUCGAAUCGCAUUCAAACUGAUUAUAAAAAUAAAUGUAUAUCAAUAUAAAAUCCAACAAAUUCUCCACGCAUAAAAAUUAAUGUAAUUUAAAAUCUCGAAAUGAAAAAAAAAGAUAUUUGAAACUAAUUGCCGGUUUGAUGUGUUUUAAAAAUGUACAACCAUUUCUCAUUACUGAUGGGCCAUUUUCUCGGCCAGCUGAAUGAAAUCUCUCCUUGUCUUGAAAGAUUUGUAGCCCAACAGGCCUAACAAAGCGACUUACUUGGCAAAUCACAAAAAAACUAGGCUGUGGCCGUGGACUCAGCUGUCAGUCCAUUUGUUUUUUAGUCCAUUUGGUGGGCUGGGUGAAACAAUGAUGUAGCAUCUAUGCAGCCUGUUUAAAUCCAAUUUGCAUUUUUCUCGAAAUCCGCGGACUUGCUGGGCUGGGUGAAAAUAUCAUGUCAGUAAAAUCUUUGCAAGCUUAUGUACGCAAUCACUAGGAGUUAACUUGCCAAGUUAUAUAUAAACAAUUAUUAUUAUUAUUUUGUAAGAACUUUCAACUUACGAAAUAAAAUAUCAUUUUAAUUUGAUGAGUUAAUAGUACAUGAGGUAUUAUUAUUUUUUAGGCUAGACGUGGGACAAUUGAGUUGGUUCUAGGGGAAAGUACUAGGAGAAAACUCAGUUUACAUCGAAAAAGAAAGUGGGAGAAAAUUCAGAGACCUGAUGGGUCCACCUGAGGAGGGGAAUAUGUUGGGAGGAAGGAUAUUCAAAGCACGGCAGUCGAGUGAACUAGUUGUUUUUUACGGACAAGUGAACUAGUUUAGAUACAUAAGCAAAUAGCCACUAAAAAAGAAAUCAGGUUAAUGGGUUCUUAAAAGAAAUAUUUCGGACAAAACAGAUAAUUACGACACAUAGGCUAAUGCAUGAAACACUCAGAUGAUAAAGGUUCUUAUAAACAGAUAAAGUACAACAUCUAGACCUUCCUGGCACGCUUGAUCAUGACGCUGCGGUUGUCCGUGUACUCGUCGGUUAUGGAAAGCAGACACGCCCUCAUGUCCAAGAUCUGCCUCUACAUGUCGUAGCAUGCGUAUGCGUCCUUAGCCGUGUAGGUUAUGUAGGCUAGAUUCAGAGGUACGUCCCACGUGUUUAGGUCGUCUUCUUUCAUGUUGGCGUAUCAGGGGUCGAUGAUGGUCUCACCGAGGUCAACCACAGAGUCCUUCUCCUGCCCGUUGCUGAUGAUCUUGUAUUGCUUCUGGAUGUCGACAAGCUUGUUGCACCAGAUGGCCGAAUCGUCGCGUUCUUCCUUCUCUCCACCGUAGCGAAGGUGCAGUCGGCGCUGCCAUUGAAACGGGCGAAUGCUCCAGAACCUGGUGCAGCCAUAGGACUGAGGCGAGGCAGAGCUUCACCGAGUCCGUAUCGUUGGUGUACAUCACAUUCAACUUGGUGCAGCCAUAGGACUGAAUGGAGAACUCAAAGGGGAACUCCUUGCUGAAGUCCAUAUCCAGCAGGCUCACCCCUCGGAUCGCCAUUGGAGUCUCUUCGAGUGAACGAGUGUGUAGGCGGCGGCGGCAGUUCGUUUUUUAGCUCUUGGGGAACUGAAUUCAACAGUAAGCUGAGUGUGUACAUGCGACAACAGUUACUACCCCUCCCUCGUCCGCUGCAUGCCCGGCAGAAGAUGCACCCUCGGCCACACGUCGGUUCACGAGCAGGUCUGUAUUGGUACUGUAAUAACAGGAGUUUGUGGUCACUUUACUUAAAUUUAAUUAGCUUUAAUAGAAAUUUGUACUUAAAAGAAGCAAUGCAUUCGCUCGUUCUAUCAGUGCCACAGGAUCAACAUGCACAACAAUUAGAAUUAUUAUUCUCAGGACGCACACGAUCAACACAUUUGUCGCACUUUCACAAAGAUAAUACUACCAAGUUUGAACUGUUUGUUAUGGUUGUUGUCCUCUGCAUCAUCAUGCCAUGUUUCCUAGCUUGCAAGAUUCAGAACCAACAAAUAAGAUCCAAAUAAUAAGUACAACAAAGAUGCCUACACAUCUCAUUGAUUCCCAGCUUGCAAGAUUCAAAACCAACAAAUAAGAUCCAAAUAAUAAGUACAACAAAGAUGCCUACACAUCUCACUGAUUCCCAGCUUGCAAGAUUCAGAACCAACCCAUUAGAGCCUUUUGAUAAAGUGAAUAUCGGGAUUAAAUCCAUCCUGGCUAGCCAUGUCAUACAAUCCAAGAACUUGGCGAAUGCUCUUGACUGUCACAACAUCUGUAGUUGAGUAUUCCUGUUUGCACAACAUGUUUGCACAUCACAAACAAGGAGACAGGAGAGCAUGAUUUCGCUUUAAUAGCGGCCUCCUUGAACUCAACCUCCAGCUCUACUUGGAUGAGGUAUGCCUGGAGUUCCAUGAUUCAAUUCAUGCACCUUUUUUUGCAGUUCACCUGAAAUGAAGCAAAGAUUGCAUCAUUCAGCUAGCAAGAAGUACUUGCUCUUGUGAGCUGGCAGGUUCUUCUUUAGUAGUUGCACUAAAAUUGAGGAACAUUAAGGUUGGCUGUCCGGCUCAUGUAAGGUGAAACUAUAAUUUUCUUAUCCUUUUGUGCAGUUCCACUAAAAUAAAGUGCCAUUAUGGUGACAGUGACGGCUCCAUCUUGCAAAGGCUAAUAAAAUGUUGCACGAGAUUACCAGCAGAACUUGAUGGAUAUUUUGGAAACUCCAAUCACCAUUUUGUGCAGUUCCACCAAAAUUGAGAGAUGUUGCCCACGUGACAUUUUAGUUGAACUGCACAAGACACUCAUCCCAAAAAAAGUGUUUUGUGCAGUUCACCAAAAGGUCACAAUAGCAACAAGGUGAAAUGGAUAUCCCUAUCUGCACAAAAAGAUAGAAAGUAAAUAGUUGCUGGUCAAUAAGAAUAUAUGAAAUAUAUACAAAAUGGAAAGAAGCAUCUUAAUUAUGUUCAUGGAAAUCACGCAAGGAUAGUAGAAAUUUUAAAACGUCAGCAAUGCUUCAUGUUACCAGAAGCAUUACGAUCAACAAUGAGAUUCCUCAAAUAUGGGAUUACUUUAAUGGUGGCAUUGCUUGUUUACCAGACACAGUAAAUCAACAGCAGCUAAAGAGUUGGUUUAAGGGCAUGGGACCGUGGGGACACCAGGACACUCAGCAGCGUAAAGGAGCAACUUACUUAUCAUACUGGGGAAAACAGCAGGAGUGCCAUUGUACUAUGUGAGGGCAGCAAAUCUAAUCUUGGAGACCUUUUACUAUGUGAGGGCAGCAAAUCUAAUCCUGGAGACCUUUUACUAUGUGACGGCAGAAAAUCUAAUCCUGGAGACCUUUUACUAUGUGAGGGCAGCAAAUAUAAUCCUAAGACCUUUUACUAUAUGAGGGCAGCAAAUCUAAUCCUGGAGACCUUUACUAUGUGAUGGCAGCAAAUCUAAUCCUGGACAUACUCUAUUGACUUGUCCACCAGCCGCCACUUUCUAUCCUUUUUUCAACCAAUAAUAGAUCUGUUCCUUAUCCAGUUUGUACCGCGUUUUCCCAUUAUUUCCCCUUUCAACCAAGAGACCGGUUGGGUAUCCGGUCUCUACUACUUUCACCAUAUUAUUUCCUCUUUGAAUCAAGUCCUAGAUUCAUGCUACAACUUCCCCCCUUUCUUCGUUGUUUGAACAAAGCCCUAGAUUUGAAUGCAUGAAGUAGUUGUACCUCUAAUAGUACUAAAAAUUUAGGUGGCUUUGGAAGAGCUGAUGGGAGUAGAAAAAGAUGCACAUGCAGACACGUGGGGAGCUGAGACAGUAGAGCAAGGCCUCUUUCGAAGAACUUAUAACUGAGGGUCGCCGGGAUGUCGGCGGCGGCAGGUCGGAUCUGUGGACAAUACGACAGGGAGGAAGAAGGGUCGGAGGACCUCCCGAGCCGGCCAUGUGUCGGAGAGAACGGCACGGGCAGAGGAUCGGGCCCCUCCGGCAGCUGUGGGUUUCCUCCCUCGGCGGCGAUGACCGCGUGAAUGAUGCACCUUUUAGUCCUCUACACACACCGGCCAAAGGGAUCCGGCCGGAUCUGUGACCAGCGGUGAGAAGAGAGAAAAUGUCGCUACCGCUGUCUUGUUUAUAUCUGGAGAGGAUGAGAGAAUGAAGAGAGCAACCCUAGUAAAGCAAGCGCUUAGGCCCCUGCGUCCAUAUAUAGUGGAGUGAUUAUCUUUUUUCUCUCCACAACAAGCGUUUCAAUUAGUGUACGUGGCAUUAAAGAAAAGAAACUCUCUAUUUAAGGUGACUACAGUAGGACUCCUACUUACUACUAGUAGUACUACAGUAUUGUUCACUUGUGCCCCCCGCCCCUCCAUUCAUUGAACAACCCCACGGGUGAACAAACAUACAGUAAGUACUGUAUUUAUAUAGAACGAACAAGCUCGAACUAUUUUCGCGUAGUUAAAAGUUGAGGGCAGGGCUUUUCCCGGGCAGUACGUGUGACAGUUUUCGGGUAGGGCUAGAAGACUAUUUUAAUUUUUUUUAAAACUUCGAGACGGCCACAUAGCAUGGAGCCAACCCCAACGAUUUUAAGCUUACAGGCACGGUACAUGCUAUCCUAGACUAGUAUACACAUGAAACUGCCACACGAGCGUCCGGGCUGCGCUUGGCUCUUCGCCUCUUCGUGAAGUCGAACAAUGAUGGAAUACUACUGCACUGGAGGAGUACUACAGUACGCUUCUGGCCAUCUGACACCGAUUGAACUGCUUCAUGUCCACCGCGUGCGGGAGUGAGAGCGUGUAGCGAAAGCUUCUCCUAGUCUUGCCAGCCACCGCGCUCAUGGGCGAGGGAGGGACGCUCCUGCCUUUGCGUGUAUGACAGGUGGGCCCUACAGGUGUGUGGCCAACCUGUCAUACAGCCGAAGGCAGGUGCAGUUAAGUCCGCGAGGGAGAGGAUAAUCAAAAUUCUCGUUGAUGUACGAGUUGACGCGACACAUCAAAGCACUGCACUCGAUAUAUUUCAAUAAUUUCCGUGUGUGACUCCCAGAUGCAGAGGCCGGGGGUCAUCAUCCUCCUUUUCGAGAAAAAAACAGAUGAGUGUGUGAGAGGAUGAGUGCGUGCGUGCACCUCUUCUCUUCCUGUAUAACGUACUCCCUCCGUUUCUUUUUACUCCGCGUAUAAGAUUUGGUCAAUUUUCAGAGUACACGUUUUUGUGGGUGGCACGAUGGUGCGUGCGAGAAGUCCCAAGAGAUAGGUUUAAUGCAUUAAUUGCAAUGCAUGCAUGCAUAAAGUACAUGCGUUGGUCAAUUUUCUCUUAAUACUUGCAUGCAAUGAUUUAAUGCACCUUGAAUCUGAACAUGUGUUGGGGACAACCAAAUUGAGCCUUAUAACAUGGAAAAACUAAAAUUUUGAGAUAAGCCCUAUAAAACCGGAAAGGAGGGAGUAGAAAAAGAAGUACUCCAUCCGGGAAUAAUGCCGCACUUCGAAACUAGAACCGUCAAUAAAUUUUGAGCUUGCGUCUCGUCACAUUCCAAAUUACUCCACGCUAUAUUGAAUUGCAAACAUGUUCACACCGAUCACAGCCUAAACGGUUUCCCACUUAGGAGUGUAUUAGUACUCGGUUAUAAAUACUAGUAUGCCAAGAUGACUGCACAUUCCUCCUCAACUCCUCAUCCAUAAAAACAAACAAGUCAUUCAUCAUCCUUCCCUUGCGUCUGCCAUGGCCAGCAUGAGUUCUGGGUCGAGAGAUUGCCACCAGGGAGAGGCGAGCAUGGAAGCGGAAGCAUGAGAGAUGUCCCGCCUCGCUGCGAGAGCAGCAGACAUGUCCCGUCGUGCGGAAGUAGUAGCACAGAGGUCCGCCACGCCGCUGAAGCAGCACGGAGGUCCCGUCGCGCCGUUGAUGCAGCAGACUAGUCCGGCCGCACCAUGGAAGCAGCAGAGAUGUCCCGUCGCGCCACGAAUGCAGCAGAGAUGUCCCGCCGCGCCACGGCAGCCUGGGAAAAUUUCUCGCGGGCAGGCGACGACUGUUACAGGCGCAUGCAUGCGAUCGUCCAUAGCCAGAUGGAUCAGAUCUCCGGCUCGGCGAGGUUGUAGGACGACAUGACAACCUCGUUUGAACAGGCUACCGGCAUCAUCCCAACUAAGGGAGGGCAAUGAGAGGCUCCGGCCCGAGCGCGGCCUGCUGAGGGAGAAGAUCGUCUGAAGUGCAGACUUGCAGGAGGAGACCAGUGCCUUGUUGAAGAGACUUGCAGGAGGAGACCAGGAAUCCAUGGAUGUUCUCAAGCAGCAUCUUGAGGACACGAAAGAGCUCAUCGCCGCUCACCGCGGAGACUAGUUUCCUGGUUUCUUUUGAUGUAAUAAUCGGUUUAGGAUGUGGAUUGUGUCGUCGGUUAUGAAAUGUUGGGUUCUAGCGCAGAUGUUUGGCCUUUGUUGGCCUCUUGGGAUGUUGUGAUUUCAAUCUGGUAGCUUUUAGUCCUUCGUGUUAGGCUGCAGUUGUGCUGAACUUCUUGUGAAUUGUGGUGGUUUUCAGUAAUGAAAAUCGAAAGGGGCAAGCCCUUCUUUGAUCAAUUUUUUUAAUCGUCCUUAUAUAUUCAUCAGUCUUGAUAUAAGUCGCAGUAGAUGCUAUAUAGGUUCGUCGGAUCUUACAUCAAGAUCCGUGCUUUUAGAUUUUCUUUUUUCUCUCUUAAAUCUCAGUCAAGUGAGACAUAGCCACGCCAUUAAACAGAGGCUCGGGCGCCAUUAAUGGAGACCUUGGUGGAGAGGUGGACGGCAGAUGGAGGUCAAAGGGCUCUCCUCCCGGUAAGCACGUGCAAGGGUCUGAUCGCACGCCUCUCGUACUCAAAUAGCUACCCUGCACGGCGCCUCCUAGCUAAUAAAAAAUGGGUCGCUUGGCGGCACGCAAAUGGUACUAGUAAGUAGAACGCCCAUGGUUUCAAUAAUACUUGUGUUUCCGAUUGUAACGUGAUAGCACUUGUGCCAAAAUGACUUUGUUGAUUGUUAAUGUGUGCGCCUUCGCAAAUCGGACUACAAAUUUACCACAGCAUGUUGGUGCCAUGUCAUGGCACCAAGCCAAGUUUCAUUAUUUUCAUGCAUGUUUUGGAUUUACAGGAAUUAAAAAACUAAGUUUCUCAAUGUUUCCAACCCAGCCACGACGCAAUUUCAUUCCCAUUUCUUGCAUGGAACCUAGAAAUUUACCCGAGGACACACAUGUGAUUUUUCAACCAACUUAGGUGCACUGGAACAUGUGAUUGUAUUCCAAAUUUGAAUUAUGCACACAAAGGUGACACGUUCCCUCCCAGAACCACGAGCCUUCUUGAGAGAAGCUCCGAUUUGCAAGAAGCUUAUACCAAAAUUUGUUCCUAUUCUGCCAAUUUUUUUACCACGACAUGGUACUACCAUGACAUGACAUCAUGUCAAGUUUCAUGAUUUUAAAACCAAGUUUCUCAAUGUUCUCGACCGAGCCACGAUGCCCAGAUGUUUGAAUUUUAUUCUCAUUUUUUGCAUGGGACCUACUCCCUCCUUCCAUCUAUAUAGGGCCUAAUGUGUUUUUCAAGACAGCCUUUGACUAUUGACAAGAUUAAUAGCACAUGAGAUGUAUACUAUGAAAAUUAUAUUAUUGGAAGCUCCUUUAACAUACAAAAUUGAAGGUAUGCUUUGUGUAAGUUGCAUGCCAUAUAUUAUUGCUCUAACUUUGGUCAAAGUUAGCCUCGAAAAACGCAUUAGGACCUACAUAGAUGGAAGGAGGGAGUAGAAAUUCACCCGAGGACACAAAUGUGAUUUUUCAACCAACUUUGGUGCACGGGAGCAUGUGCUUGUAGUUCAAAUUUGAAUUAUGCACAUUAAAUAACCAAAAACUCAAUUAAUGUGUAAAUAAGGCCAAACGAAGCCGGAAUAAUUCCAAAAUUUAAUAGGGCACUCAUGUAGUUCUAUGCUGCCUUUGUAAAUAAGCUCAAGGGGGACAAUGUAUAUCGUUUCACACUCAAAGGUGGCACGUUCCCUCUCAAAACCACGAGCCUUCUUGAGAGAAGCUUCGGUUUGCAAAAGCUUAUACCAAAAUCUGUUCCUAUUCGGCCAAUUUUUUUACCACAACAUGGUAGUACCAUGACAUGACAUCCAUGCCAAGUUUCAUGAUUUUCAGACGUGUUUUGGAUUUACAAGAAUUUUAAAACCAAGUUUCUCAAUGUUCUCGGCCAAGCCACGAUGCCCAAAUGUUUUAAUUUUAUUCUCAUUUCUUGCAUGGGACCUAGAAAUUCACCCAAGGACACAAAUGUGAUUUUUCAACCAACUUUGGUGCACGAGAGCAUGUGCUUGUAGUUCAAAUUUGACUUAUGCACAUUAAAUGACCAGAAACUCAAUUAAUGUAUAAAAAACGACAAACGAACCCGGAAUAAUUCCAAAAUUUAACGUGUCACUAAUGUAGUUCUAUGUUGCCUUUGUUAAGAAACUCAAGGGGGGGGGCAGCGUAUAUCAUUUCACACUCAAAGGUGGCACGUUCCCUCUUAGAACCACGAGCUUCCAAAUCGGCCCAAUUUUUUACCACAACAUGUUAGUGCCAUGACAUGACACCAUGCCAAGUUUCAUGAUUUCUAGGCGAGUUUGAUUUACAUGAAUUUAAAAUCAAAGUUUCUCGAUGUUCUCGGCCGAGUCAUGACGCCCAGAUGUUUGAAUUUCAUUCUCAUUUCUUCCAUGGGACCUAGAAAUUCAACCAGGGACACACAUGUGAUUUUUCAACCCACUUUGGUGCACCGGAGCAUGUGCAUGCAAUUCAUAUUUAGAUUAUGCACAUUAAAAGUCCAGAAACUCAAUUAAUGUAUAAAAAAGGCCAAAUGAACCCAAAAUAAUUCCAAAAUUUAACAGGGCACUCAUAUAGUUCUAUGUUGCCUCUGUAAAUAAAAUCAGGGGGGAGGCAGCGUAUAUCGUUUCGCACACAAAGGUGUCACAUUCCCUCUCGGAACCACGAGGCUUGUUGAGAGAAUCUCCGGUUUUGCAAGAGGCUUAUACCAAAACUUGUCCCAAUUCAGCCAAAAUUAUAUGUAUGAAAACAGGGUUUAGAUUAUCCCAAACAUCUCGUUACCUAGACCAAUAAUGUACUAUGAUUUGAAUUUAACAUAAAAUGGAUACAAAUAUUUGAAUUGGAGAGCGUAUGGUACAUGUAGUUCAUAGUGAAAUAUGAUUACUGCUAUAUGUAUGUUUUUUGUUAUCAAGAUAAUAUUUAAAUUAUUGUAUAACUUGACAACAAUCGUAUUCAAGUAAGGAAAAUUGAUUCAAAUUUAGUCCAUAUGGUAGACGACAAUAUAUAUGUUCACAUGGUGGAGUAAAAUGUUCAUAUAUGAUGGAAGAUCAAAAUGUACGACUACAUCAAUUAUAAACCGCAAGGUCACCUAAUGAUAUAUUCGAAUUCAACAUAACAUGGAUUCAAAAAUUGAAAUUCGAGAUCAUGGCAUCUGUAAUCAUAUAAAAAGGAACAUUACUCUUUCUUUGGUGGGAAUUGAUUUGUUUUUUGUUGUUGUUGAGGGAAGUGCGAAUCGAUUUGGUACUGUGCAGGGUAAUCUUGUUCUCCCGAUUUUUUUUACAUUUUUCUUGUAGUUUUUUCAAUGGCAUCUAUAGCAAUAUAGUAAAAGGGGACAUGACUCUCUUGUGUCUUGUAUGAAUUGUUUUUUUACACGUUAAGUUUGUUCUGCCGAACAAGGAAUCCGCACCUUGUUAUCCCGAAAUUUUCAAGCUCGAGUAUCUUUUGUCUCAUCUGCUUUGAAACUCCCGCUUCUUCAACCCGCGCCACGCCUUGUUACCCCGAAAUUUGGAUGCGCGCGAGAACUCCCUCCUCAUCCGAAAUCGCUCCCGCAGCCCAGACACGCGAAAUCCCCCUUCUACCCCUCAACCGAAAAUGAAGUUCCAUGCCGCGGUGUCAAAACCGGUGAGGGUACGCUGGUAACUUACCCUACAUUUUGGACAAGCGCGUCCCUAAGCUUGGCUCACCCCUCCCCCUUCGCCCCCCCAUUCGUACACCGAGGUUGCCAAAACCCGCGAAACCCCAUGCUCCUCCGUCGGCCUCCCGACCGCCGCCCAACCGGAGACUCUUCCCCGACUACGUCGUCCACCGCAAUAGCUCGCCGUCCCUCAUCCACCACACCGGAUGAGGAUCCGUUGUCGAUCUCGUCGUCCCAUCGGAUCAGCCGCCCCGUCCUCCACCUCCAAGGAGCUGCCCCGACGUUCGCCUCGUCUAUCGCGCCACCUCAAUCCCCACAGCGCCGUCUUGACCUGCCCCACCGGAACCGCAACACCCUCACCAAUUCCUCUGAUGGAGCCGAGGCCAACUCGGCGCCACCAAGGAGGUUCUGCACUCACCGCUGCAUUUUAUCUUUUAUUUGAUCUCACGGGGCUGCCAGUGCUCGAUACCGAGUAGACAUGGCAUGUCUCCAUCGACGGCACCGUCACCGACACAUCAUCCACGGCGUCUCUCCCCCAUGUCGUUGCUUCCUCAGCGGCGACUUCCACAACGGCACUAGCUGCAGCUGCUCCGGCUCUCGCUCGCGUUGCGGCUCUGUUCUUGUUGUCGGCCGCGCUGCUGCACUGCUCCUGCUUUCGUUCGUGCUGCUGCUCUGCUCUUGCUCUCGCUUACGCUGCUGCUGCUGCUGCACAACCUCCGACAGCUACAUGAGUUGCUGCUUUAGCACUCGCUCGUGGUGCUACUGCACGACUUGCUCUCUGCUAGUGCGUUCCCUGCUCAAGCGUUUGCUGAUUUAGAUCACUGCUUCUCUGCUACUAGUGCUCGAAUGCCCUAAACAUCUAUUGCAAUGCUCUGUUACUAGUUCAAUCAGUUUCGAUUGUGAAGUUCAUUUUCUUCAAUUAAGUUCAGAGUGAACAGUACUUACAGCAUCUGUCGGAGCAGCCAUGGUGCGGCUGAUGCGUUUUACAUCUAGCACUUUUUGGUGAUGUAUUUUACAUCAUCUACUGCAGAUGAUAUUAGGGUCCCACUUCAGAUUAACAUUGUCUGUCUUGUCAUGCUUCAGCCUCGUCGCCGUACACCUUAGCGGAGCUGCUCCAACGACAUAACCGUCCAUCACAGCGGAGCAGUACCCUCGGCGCCGUUUCCAGAGGCCUCGGAUCUUCUUCCCCGCCUCUGACAGUCACACCAGCAUCAUCACCAUCCUCCACGUCCAACCCAAUGAUGCUGAGGUCCACAAGGCUAUGCCAAAGAGGUUGUACACUCGUCGCAUCACUUUGUUUCUCCAUUCCUCUGUUCUUCCAAUUCAUGUGAGCCAAACACCCAGGUUGACUGAAAUCCUAUGUUUCCAAAUGCUCUGUUUUGCACGUGCAUUCCUAUCCUAUUCCUGUGUUUUUCCUGUCCCUGCGUUUAUAGAAUCCUCCAAUUCUAAGGAGCCCUUACAUAUUUACUUCAUUUUCAGAUAGGCGUCAAAGAAAACUCUGUGUGUUAUGUCCUGCUCCUGCCGUGCCGUCAUCCACCCCACCUGAGGUGCACCAUCGACAGAAGCGUUCACUUCAGUAGAGAUCCCCCCUGCAGACUUCCUUUCGCCGCCUCAGAUCAUCUUCCCCAUUGCCGGCAGCCACGCCAACUGCAUUACCAUCAUCGACUUGAGAAGAUGAACCUGAGGAAUAAACAGUUCCGGAAGAGAGGUCACAGUCUUUCGUGUUUGUGUAACGCCCUCGAUGCGGCUAUAUCUCCCACGUGUUGAAGCACGACUUAGAGGCAUAACCGCAUUGAAAGCAAUGUCGCAAGUGAGGUAAUCUUCACACAACCCAUGUAAUACAUAAGGGAAAGAGAUACAUAGUUGGCUUACAAUCGCCACUUCACUCAAUACAUGAAUAAAGCAUUACAUCAUCCAGACACAAUCAAGGUCCGACUACGGAACCAAAAUAAAAGAAGACUACCCCAAAAGCUACACAGAUCCCCGAUCGUCCCAACUGGGCUCCACUACUGAUCAACUAGAACGAAACAACACAAAGGACAAGAUCUUCAUCGAGAUUCUCCUUGAGCUUGAUUGCGUCACCUGCUCGGUAACAUCAGCACCUGCAAACUGGUUUUGGAAGUAUCUGUGAGUCACGGGGACUCAACAAUCUCACACCCUCGCGAUCAAGACUAUUUAAGCUUAUAGGAAGGGUAAAGGUAUGAUGGUGGAGCUGCAGCAAGCGACUAGCAUGUAUGGUCGCUAACAUAUUCGCAAAAGAGAGCGAGAAGAGAAAGCAAAAGCACGGUCGAACAACUAUGAUCAAGAAGUGAUCCUAGACCAACCUACGUCAAGCAUUACUCCAACACCGUGUUCACUUCCUGGAUACCACCGGAAAGAGACCAUCACGGUAACACACGCGGUUGGUGUAUUUUAAUUAAGAUCAACUUCAGGUUUUCUACAACCGGACAUUAACAAAUUCUCAUCUGCCCAUAACCACAGGCACGACUUUCGAAAGUUCAAAUCCUUGCAGGGGUGUCCCAACUUAGCCCAUCACAAGCUCUCACGGUCAACGAAGGAUAUUCCUUCUCCCAAGACAAUCCGAUCAGACUCGGCAUCCCGGUUACAAGACAUUUCGGCAAUGGUAAAACAAGACCAGCAAAGCCACCCAGAUGUGCCGACAAAUCCCGAUAGGAGCUGCACAUAUCUCGUUCUCAGGGCACACCGGAUGAGCAAGACGUCGGGUAGGCCAGCCCAGAGUUGCCCUUGGUAGCCCCGGACAUCGCUCGGUUGGACCAACACUUAGAGAAGCACUGGCCCGGGGGUUAAAAUAAAGAUGACCCUCGGGAUGCACGACUCCCAAGGGAAAAAAGGCUAGGUGGCGAAUGGUAAAACCAAUGUUGGGCCUUGCUGGAGGAGUUUUAUUCAAGGUGAACUGUCAAGGGGUUCCCAUUAUAACCCAACCGCGUAAGGAACGCAAAAUCCGGGAACAUAACACCGAUAUGACGGAAACUAGGGCGGCAAGAGUGGAACAAAACACCAGGCAUAAGGCCGAGCCUUCCACCCUUUACCAAGUAUAUAGAUGCAUUAAUUAAAUAAGAGAUAUUGUGAUAUCCCAACAAAUAUCCAUGUUCCAAACAUGGAACAAGCUCCAAUCUUCACCUGCAACUAACAACGCUAUAAGAGGGGCUGAGCAAAACGGUAACAUAGCCAAACAAUGGUUUGCUAGGACAAGGUGGGUUAGAGGCUUGGCUCAACAAUAUGGGAGGCAUGAUAAGCAAGUGGUAGGUAUCGUAGCAUAGGCAUAGCAAAAGAGCGAGCAUCUAGCAAGCAAAGAUAUAAGUGAUUUCGAGGGUAUGGUCAUCUUGCCUGAAAUCCCGCAAGGAAGAAGAACGAGUCCAAGAAGAAGACAAACAGACGUAGUCGAAUGGGUCCUCACAAACGCGACGUUACUGGAUUACCGAGAAGAAGUACACCGGAAAGAAAGCAAACAACAUAUUAAACAACCAUCACAUCAACAUGGCAUGAUGCACAACCAAGUAUGAUGCAUGUCCGGUUUAAAUACGCAUGGCAUGGCAAAGGGCACAAACAACCCUACAAAUUAAGUGGAGCUCAAUAUGCAACUCCGUUGCAUAUUGACGAAACACCACGUGACUUAUUUAGUUCGAUCUUGUUUAUGUACCAAACAAUAUUAAAUGUUGUUAAACAUGGCAAGAGGGUGAGGCAAAGUAAAACUACCUAUCUAGUCAAGUUUAAAUGAGGCCGGAAGCAACGAACAACAAUUCCGGUAAAUCCCCAUAUGCAUAUAUUAGGUUCGGUACUGUUCUUCCCUAAACCAUAUUUUAGAGUUGUUAAACAUGCAAAGUACUGCCACCAUGUUAAACUAGGCAUAAUUCUACCCCAUUUACAUAUAAAGUUUAUUUAAAAUGGAGCUAUAGUUAUUUAGUUAUGAAUUAAAGCAUUUUAACAUGGAAAAACAGAAAAUUAAAGCAAACAGCAAGUUAAACAUUUUAAACAUGGAUGAAAGUUGCAUAUUAUUAAACUAGAUGAAAUUCUAGUCAAGUUUCAUAUAUAAAUUAUUUACAUCCGAUGCACGGUUGGUGAAUUAUUAAAUGCAUGAAACUUAGGGGGGUUCCUGCAAAACUGCUCUCUCUGAAAAAAAACUAAAACGUCCAGGAAAAAAACAUGUGUUGGGCCGAAUCUUGCUGGCCCAAGAGGAACAGGCACUGGGGCUGCUCACCCAACGUGCUUGGCCCAGAUCUGUGGAGAGGGAGAGGCUGGCAGGGGCGCGCUGGGCCGGCCUGCUUGGUUCGGUAGGGGAAAGGUCAACGCGGUCGCUCGAACGACUCGGGGCAGAUGCGGCGUCCUCCUCUUCUCAACAAGAAAAAGAGCAGCGGCGGCGUGGGACUUGGCGGCCGGUUCGGUGAAGCAAACAGUAGGCACAACGGCGCUGAGGACUCCGGCGAGCGGCAGGAUGAGGAGGGGUCGGCGCGAGAGCUCGGUGGCAUCCGGAUCCAAGUGCGAGAAGCCUUCGGGUCUCGUUUCCUGCCGGAUCGAAGUGGAGGCAGCCGAGACCUUGGGACCUGGCGUCCAUGGCGGAGGAGUUCCAAGGGCGGCGGCGCUGCACGGUUCCUGCAGGGAGGCGAGGUGAGAGAUACAGGGAAAAGAAAGGGGAGAGGCAUGAGGAUUAAGAGGAGGUGGUAGGCGCGGCACAGGGACUUGGCGUCGGCCAGGCAAGCGAAGGCGGACUUGGACGGGAGCAGACCGGGGGGAGGUCCGGCGGGCGGUGAAACGGGUGGAUCAGCUCGGCCAUCACUGGAUUCGGUCAAAGGCGACCGCGGACUAAGUUCGACAGUGGCGCUGUUCCAACUCCACGGCGAGCUCCUGCGAGAGGAAACGGGAGGGAGAGAGAGAGGGAUGAGAUAGGGUAAGAAGAAGGGAAAGAAGGAGGUAGCGCGAGGGGAUUUGACUCAGGCGUGGUGGUCUGCUCCAGCGAGCUGGCCGGUGCUCGGGCGGCUACAGGAGAGGAGCGACGGGCAGAGGAUGCAGGACUUGGGCGGCGAUGGUGGUUGGACAGGAGGGGAAAACGAGGAGAAGGUGGAGGCUAGUUUUGGAUCCCGAUGGGGAGUGUGGCGGCGGCAUGGGGAUGGAUGGGACAUCUCCCCUAGAAAUUAGGGUUGAAACUGUUUAUAUAUGGUAUAUGGAUCUUUGGGUAGGGGCUACCUCGUCCCUCCGAUCGUAAUCGGAUGGUCGAGAAACAAAUAGGUAGGGAGUCCAAAUAGAAAAUGGAGAUGUUUUAUAAACGUUUGGGGAUAAUCCGGAUCCAACGGUGACGACGGUCCGGGUCGGGUCCAGGACAAUUUCGGACACGCAUGCGAGGGGUCGAUUGGAACUUGUGGGCUGUGCAGAAGGGCUCGAGCUGAGAGAAAAGAAGAGAGAGAGGCCCGCCAGGGUUUCCGGAGACCGAAAACGUCCGAGCUUAGACCGGCUAUAAUGCCGCUAUAGUUUAACGGUUGGGCUAUCAAACGAACUCCGAAUGCGAUGAAACUUGAUAGGCGGUCUAUCUACACUAUAAUAAGACCACACGCCAACUUUCAACCCAAUCCGAGAACAUUUUCCGGCCACUUAUAAAAUAAUAUUUCGGACGUGCCGCGGGCGCGUGCAAGUGUGGUUGGGCUCAGAACGGACAACUGAGAGAACGAGGAGACCAGGACAGAUGCAAGUUUUGAAAAACAUGAUGAUGCAAUACACAUGAUGACAUGACAAGAUGCAACAAGCAAGCGAAUGACAAGGCAACAACAACGAAUAACUGGAAGACACCUGGCGCAACGGUCUCGGGGCGUCACAACACUCCACCACUACGAGAGGAUCUCGUCCCGAGAUCUAUAAUGGCACCGGAGGGAAAACGGAAGAGAAAGAUAAGAGGUUAAACUAAGUUGCUUCUUUGACAAUUGAGUGAAACCAAAGAACCUUGAAAGGUUGAACAAAUUGAAAGAAAGUAUACAAUGAAGAUGAACGAAGUUGAAGACACUCCGUUAGAAAAAAGGAACAAAGAACAUCACUAGAAUUUUGUAGGUUGAAAGACAUAAGAAAAAAGGUUGCAAUGGACAAGAAGUACAUGCAAGCACUCCGGUAGAAAAAGAGAAACAAGGAACGAUAAGGAUCAAUUACGACAACACUCCGGUUAAAAGAAGAUAGAGAAUGAAUAAGAAUGAUGUAAUUUGGGUAGCACUCCGACUGUAAAUGGAAGGAAUUGGACAUGAUCUUGACAAAACAAGAUGAUGGGUCGAAGAGAGCAGCAUCGCAAUGCCUCCGGAACAAAUGAAAGAAUGCAAUGAAAAGAACGGAGAAGAAAACAACAUGUUCUACCUCAAAUGAAUUUGAGAGAGCAUCCUUAAAAGAAGGAUUUAACGGAGUUGUUGGGAAAUCAACAACAAAAGGAAAAGCUCGAUAUGGGCUUAAGGAAUACAUCUCAAAAUUAUGAGGUGACAACCUGCCACUCACGAAAACAAUAGAUUGGAUUGAUAACAAGGAGACGAGAAGCUUAUUUCACCGGGAGGAUAGAUGAAGAACUUGGGUCAUUUAUGAGCACCAUAAAUAGCAACCAUCCUUAGGGAAGGCUUUAGGUGAAUCAUGACACAAGAUAACUCCAACGAAGAGGUUGAUGGAUAUAAAAUACCUCAUUCUUAACAACAUUUGAAUUAUGAAACAUGAACUCAAAUUAUCAAGAAUGACAUAAUACCACCUCAAAUGAUACGGUAGAAAGAAUUGCACUCCGGAUUGCAAGAUGAAGAAUGCUUGAACUCCUCAGAAAAGAAUCUCAAUUAAUACUUCGAAAAGGAAUUAAUUCUUUGAUGAACCAACAUGUAGAGCCUCCAUGAAGAACUCCAGUAAUAAAAGAAUGAUCAGACGAAAGGAAAGAGGAGUUGAAAACACUAUGUGAAACCUUGCAAUGAUUUAGACGGAUCUCCGUGAUGAUAUAAUUGCGAGAGCUUGGAACUCCAGAAAAUAAAAGAUAAAGCCUCUCGAACCGAGAAUGUGAUAUGAUGAACCUCCAGAAUUAGGAAUAAAAUUUACUCGAUGAAACAAGAAUAAGAAUUACAUUAUGCUUAUCCUUCACCAAUUAACUUGAUGACAAGCAAUGGAUUUGGCAUACAACUUAUUCCCGUAGAAAAGAUUAAGGGAGAAAUAAAUCAAACUUGAGAAGGUCUUCAACGAACCACCAGUAGGAUGAAACAACGAUUGAAUUAAUAUGAUACCCAUGGAAGAGAAUCUUGAGCAAACCACCGUAAGAAUUGAAAAUGGACAAAGGAAAGAUAGAGAAACACCGGGAAGAAUUAGCAAAUGAAUGAAGAUGCUUGAGGGAAUUUAGAUACAAGAGAACGUACAGAUCACGAACUGAUUAGAGGACACUUGAAGGAUGCACCGGUAAGAAUUGAAAAUGAGAGCUGAAAGCUGUAAUGAAUAAUCCCGAAAUGAUGGCCUUCGGCGAAUCAAACUGAAAAUACUCUGAAUUACUCCGGAUGGGUGAAAAGAAUUCUCACAAUAAAAAACAAUUAUGAGAGGAAGGCAUCAAGCUAGAAUCAUGAAUCUUGAAGAGAACGGAGCAAGAUUAAAGAGAAACUCUUCUUCGAUCUUCAAUAUCUAGGAAUGACGAUGAGAAACACCAUCAAAUUGUUGAGAUACUCCGGGAUGAAAAAUGGAAAGGUUGGACCAACGAUGAAAAGAAUUUGAAAGAUCUUGGAGAAAGGCAAUUGACUGAUGACAAUUCAUUCUUACGUCAAUUUUGAAAUGAAUUUGAGAAUAACUCCAGAAAAAUAAGGAGAGUUAGGUAAGAUCCUGGGAAAAGACCUGUGGGUUAGGGCCCACUCAAAAGAAACACCGUAGAACGAUUACUUGAAAAGAGAGAUUGCACCGGUUGAAUUAAAUGGCUUGAAUGAGAUAACAUCCUCGAAAGAGUUGGAACGAAAGCAGAGUGGAAACAUGAAUCUUUGAGAUAUCUUGAGCACUCCAGAACAAAUGGAUAGCGAGAGGUGAAUGAAUAUGAGGUGCAUCGGCAAGAGAAAACAUUUGGAACGAGGAAAAGAUAUGAUCGACAAGGCUUGACUUGAAUCCACCGGAGAAGAAACAGAACGAAGAAUGAUAAACUAGAAGCUCCGUUAGAAUCUUCAUGACAAUCAACGGAUACGAACAUUGACUGAAAAGAACGAAGAGACUUCACAUGAAUAAAAUGGAUAUUUGAUUAAGAAAACUGAGUCCUUGAAGAAGAAGGGUGGGUGGGCGGGAAAACAAAAGCAACUUGGAGACGGAUGAAACAAACAUCGUUGAGAAGAACUGAUAAUUGAUCUUGCGGAUGUUGAAAUGAUCGGAUCCACUUGAAGAGAAACACGCCGGUUGAAAAGGAUUGACAUGACAUUCUCGAUGAUCAAGAAUGAUUAGUAUCCACAUAGAAAUAUGAGAACACCACUUAGGAAAGGUAUGGAAUCAACAUUUGACUUUGAAGCAACUCGAAUACCACAACUCAAAAACAAAACAAAGGAUUGGCUUGCAGAAUAAGCCGGAACAAACAUAUGAUAGAGAUUUUGACCUAAGUUUUCGUGGUGGGGCCUACACGGGCUCGAUCGUACAACACCAUCAUGUACAAGGCAGUGCACAUGACAUACGAAGCGUCCCUGAGUCGGCAUAGCCAAGGACUCUUUAAGACACAACAAGACCACUGUAAAACCAACCGUGGAUAGGCGGACCACUAGACGUCGAACCCCAAUUUCAUAUCAUACAUCUGUCGGAAAGAUAUUCUAAGAGCUACUUGAAUUCCCACUUAUAAACUCUCAAAACUUUCCGGUUAUGCAAUCAGGUGUUGGGGAUACAGGGGAAGCAUAAUAUCUCACCCAAAACUAGCAAAUCCUACAUCCAGCUGUAUCCAUCCUUCAACAUAUAACCAAGAAACCUUCGGAAAUCAUUUACCUCAACCUUCGAAAAAGCAUUCGUUAUACGAGUUAUGGCAAUACUCCCGAACUCCCGCCCCAGUACUGGGUGGCGUCGAGGUUAUCUCACCAACAACUGCAUAAAAGAGAUUUUCGAUGUCGGCAAAACUAAACUCAGGUAUUCCAGAACUGCAACGAUAAAAUUGUGACGACAACACCUCGGAGCUCAACUCCCUGGGACACUGCCACAACCCCUAAAUGUCAGGAGGCACCAAGAACAAUGUUCUCGUCACAAAACCAUCGGAACUAUUCCAAGAUACCCGCGUGAUCCUAAAUUUAUUUAGUGAAAUUUGAGAAGAGAAGAGUCAAAACUCUACGUCAGGAUGCCUCACCAGAGCGACGAAGGGACUGAGGAGUAAAAAGAAUCCUACUCUCCGAUAUAUAUAAUCCUAAAAGACUCAAAACAUUUUCUAGACUCAGCAAUGCCAGCGAUUCGAUCAAGCAGGGGGCUCCUAAGGCCGGGGAAGGCUCUGAUACCAACUUGUAACGCCCUCGAUGCGGCUAUAUCUCCCACGUGUCGAAGCACGACUUAGAGGCAUAACCGCAUUGAAAGAAAUGUCGCAAGUGAGGUAAUCUUCACACAACCCAUGUAAUACAUAAAGGAAAGAGAUACAUAGUUGGCUUACAAUCGCCACUUCACUCAAUACAUGAAUAAAGCAUUACAUCAUCCAGACACAAUCAAGGUCCGACUAUGGAACCAAAAUAAAAGAAGACUACCCCAAAAGCUACACAGAUCCCCGAUCGUCCCAAUUGGGCUCCACUACUGAUCAACUAGAAUGAAACAACACAAAGGACAAGAUCUUCAUCGAGCUCCUCCUUGAGCUUGAUUGCGUCACCUGCUCGGUAACAUCGGCACCUGCAAACUGGUUUUGGAAGUAUCUGUGAGUCAUGGGGACUCAGCAAUCUCACACCCUCGCGAUCAAGACUAUUUAAGCUUAUAGGAAGGGUAAAGGUAUGAUGGUGGAGCUGCAGCAAGCGACUAGCAUAUGUGGUGGCUAACAUAUUCGCAAAAGAGAGUGAGAAGAGAAAGCAAAAGCACGGUCGAACAACUAUAAUCAAGAAGUGAUCCUAACAACCUACGUCAAGCAUUACUCCAACACCGUGUUCACUUCCCGGACACCGCCGGAAAGAGACCAUCACGGUAACACACGCGGUUGGUGUAUUUUAAUUAAGAUCAACUUCAGGUUUUCUACAACCGGACAUUAACAAAUUCCCAUCUGCCCAGAACCGCGGGCAUGGCUUUCAAAAGUUCAAAUCCCUGCAGGGGUGUCCCAACUUAGCCCAUCACAAGCUCUCAUGGUCAACGAAGGAUAUUCCUUCACCCAAGACAAUCCGAUCAGACUCGGCAUCCCGGUUACAAGACAUUUUGACAAUGGUAAAACAAGACCAGCAAAACCACCCAGAUGUGCCGACAAAUCUCGAUAGGAGCUGCACAUAUCUCAUUCUCAGGGCACACCGGAUGAGCAAGACGUCGGGUAGGCCAGCCCAGAGUUGCCCCUGGUAGCCCCGGACAUCGCUCGGUUGGACCAACACUUAGAGAAGCACUGGCCCGGGGGUUAAAAUAAAGAUGACCCUCGGGAUGCGCGACUCCCAAGGGAAAAAGGCUAGGUAGCGAAUGGUAAAACCAAUGUUGGGCCUUGCUGGAGGAGUUUUAUUCAAGGCGAACUGUCAAGGGGUUCCCAUUAUAACCCAACAACGUAAGGAACGCAAAAUCUGGGAACAUAACACCGAUAUGACGGAAACUAGGGCGGCAAGAGUGGAACAAAACACCAGGCAUAAGAACGAGCCUUCCACCCUUUACCAAGUAUAUAGAUGCAUUAAUUAAAUAAGAGAUAUUGUGAUAUCCCAACAAAAUAUCCAUGUUCCAAACAUGGAACAAGCUCCAAUCUUCACCUGCAACUAACAACGCUAUAAGAGGGGCUGAGCAAAAUGGUAACAUAGCCAAACAAUGGUUUGCUAGGACAAGGUGGGUUAGAGGCUUGGCUCAACAAUAUGGGAGGCAUGAUAAGCAAGUGGUAGGUAUCAUAGCAUAGGCAUAGCAAAAGAGCGAGCAUCUAGCAAGAAGUGAUUUCGAGGGUAUGAUCAUCUUGCCUGAAAUCACGCAAGGAAGAAGAACGAGUCCAAGAAGAAGACAAAUGGAUGUAGUCGAACGGGUCCUCACAAACGCGACGUUACCGGAUUACCGAGAAGAAGUACACCGGAAAGAAAGCAAACAACAUAGUAAACAACCAUCACAUCAACAUGGCAUGAUGCACAACCAAGUAUGAUGCAUGUCCGUUUUAAAUAUGCAUGGCAUGGCAAAGGGCACAAACAACCCUACAAAUUAAGUGGAGCUCAAUAUGCAACUCCGUUGCAUAUUGACGAAACACCACGUGACUUAUUUAGUUCGAUCUUGUUUAUGUACCCAACAAUAUUAAAUGUUGUUAAACAUGGCAAGAGGUUGAAGCAAAGUAAAACUACCUAUCUAGUCAAGUUUAAAUGAGGCCAGAAGCAACGAACAACAAUUCCGGUAAAUCCCCAUAUGCAUAUAUUAGGUUUGGUACUGUUCUGCCCUAAACCAUAUUUUAGAGUUGUUAAACAUGCAAAGUAUUGCCACCAUGUUAAACUAGGCAUAAUUCUACCCCAUUUACAUAUAAAGUUUAUUUAAAAUGGAGCUACGGUUAUUUAGUUAUGAAUUAAAGCAUUUUAACAUGGCAAAACAGAAAAUUAAAGCAAACAGCAAGUUAAACAUUUUAAACAUGGAUGAAAGUUGCAUAUUAUUAAACUAGAUGAAAUUCUAGUCAAGUUUCAUAUAUAAAUUAUUUACAUCCGAUGCACGGUUGGUGAAUUAAAUGCAUGAAACUUAGGGGGGUUCCUGCAAAACUGCUCUUUCUGAAAAAAAUAACUAAAACGUCCAGGAAAAAACAUGUGUUGGGCCGAAUCUUGCUGGCCCAAGAGGAACAGACGCUGGGGCUGCUCACCCAGCGGGCUUGGCCCAGAUCUAUGGAGAGGGAGAGGCUAGCAGGGGCGCGCAGGGCCGGCCUACUUGGUUUGGUCGGGGAAAGGUCAACGCGGUCGCUCGAACGAUUCGGGGCAGAUGCAGCGUCCUCCUCUUCUCGACAGGAAAAAGAGCAGCAGCGGCGUGGGACUUGGUGCCGGUUCGGUGAAGCAAAUUGCAGGCACGGCGGCGCUGAGGACUCCGACAAGCGGCAGGAUGAGGAGGGGUCGACGCGAGAGCUCGGUGGCGUCCGGAUCCAAGCGCGAGAAGCCUUCGGGUCCCGUUUCCUGCCGGAUCAAAGCGGAGGCAGCGGAGACCUUGGGACCUGGCGUCCAUGGCGGAGGAGUUUCAAGGGCGGCGGCGCUGCACGGUUCCUGCAGGGAGGCAAGGUGAGAGAUACAGGGAAAAGAAACGGGAGGGGCAUGAGGAUUAAGAGGAGGUGGUAGGCGCGACACAGGGACUUGGCGUCGGCCAGGCAAGCGAAGGCGGACUUGGACGGGAGCAGAUCGGGGGGAGGUCCGGCGGGCGGCAAAAUGGGUGGAUCAGCUCGGCCAUCACUGGAUUCGGUCAAAGGCGACCGCAGACUAAGUUCGACGGCGGCGCUGUCCAACUCCACGGCGAGCUCCGGCGAGAGGAAACAGGAGGGAGAGAGAGAGGGAUGAGACAGGAUAAGAAGAAGGGAAAGAAGGAGGUAGCGCGAGGGGAUUUGACUCAGGCGUCGGUGGUCUGCUCCAGCGAGCUGGCCGGUGCUCGGGCGGCUACAGGAGAGGAGCGACAGGCAGAGGAUGCAGGACUUGGGCGGCGAUGUUGGUUGGACAGGAGGGGAAAACGAGGAGAAGGUGGAGGCUAGUUUUGGAUCCCGAUGGGGAGUGUGGCGGCGGCAUGGGGAUGGAUGGGACAUCUCCCCUAGAAAUUAGGGUUGAAACUGUUUAUAUAUGGUAUAUGGAUCUUUGGGUAGGGGCUACCUCGUCCCUCCGAUCGUAAUCGGACGGUCGAGAAACAAAUAGGUAGGGAGUCCAAAAAGAAAACGGUGAUGUUUUAUAAACAUUUGGGGAUAAUCCGGAUCCAACGGUGACGACGGUCCGGGUCGGGUCCGGGACAAUUUCGGACACGCAUGCGAGGGGUCGAUUGGAACUUGUGGGCUGUGCAGAAGGGCUCGAGCUGAGAGAAAAGAAGAGAGAGAGAGGCCUGACAGGGUUUUCGGAGACCGAAAACGUCCGACGUUAGACCGGCUAUAAUGCCGCUAUAGUUUAACGGUUGGGUAAUCAAACGAACUCCGAAUGCGAUGAAACUUGACAGGCGGUCUAUCUACACUAUAAUAAGACCACACGCCAACUUUCAACCCAAUCCGAGAACAUUUUCCGGCCACUUAUAAAAUAAUAUUUUGGAUGUGCCGCAGGCGCGUGCAAGUGUGGUUGGGCUCAGAACGGACAACGGAGAGAACGAGGAGACCGGGACAGAUGCAAGUUUUGAAAAACAUGAUGAUGCAAUGCACAUGAUGACAUGACAAGAUGCAACAAGCAAGCGAAUGACAAGGCAACAACAACGAAUAACUGGAAGACACCUGGCGCAAUGGUCUCGGGGCGUCACAGUUUGCUUACGUUAUACAUCGGUUAUUAUUACCUGCUACUUUAUCGUUCAAUCUUGAGUUUUGAAUUGCCCAUGGGUCUCAUAUCGAGCCAGCAACGAAUAGUAUCUGUCUACUAUCUGGUUCAUCUGGGUCUUCUAUGUGGUUCAUGUUGGGUGGGCAACAAACAAUAGAUGAUCCAUUGUCUAUCUUUUUAAACGGAAGCUAUAAUCUACCUGCUAUCAUUAGUUUUGGAUCCAUCCACUCGUUUGCUACCAUCAGUCUUGAUUUUUGCAUGCACCCCUUAGGCCUUACAAAAUCUAACUAUUUUUUAUUAUGCAUGUCAGAUAUUCUACACAAUCGUACUGAACAUGUAGAGAAAAAGAGAAGACUGUUGCGUGCGAAUAUAAUGUCAUGCAGACGCCGCUCCAUGGUGGGCGAAGUGCCCCCCUCCUGCAUUUCUAGAUUGUAUUCCAGAGGAAGAUAACUGUUCAGAUGGAGAUUCAGAAGGAGCCGACCACGCCUGUUUACCUCCUGAGGUGUUUGCUCUAACCUGGCAUGGUGAUGUUGGUCAUAUCAUGCAUAUGGCGCCUUGUAUUGCUUAUAUUAUACAUCUUAUAUGUCAUCAACUUAGUUUAGAUUUGCUUUGUGUGAAUGCCACAUGUUUGGUUUCUAUAUCAUACUCCCACCAUUCCUAAAUAUUUGUCUUUUUAGAGAUUUCAACAAGUGACUACAUACAGAACAAAAUGAGUGAAUCUACACUCUAAAAUGUGUCUAUAUACAUCCGUAUGUGGUAGUCCAUUUGAAAUCUCUAAAAAGACAAAUAUUUAGGAACGGAGGGAGUAUAUGGGAAUUAUGCAAUGCCAUCUUCUUUAGCCAGGCAUAAUAUAUGUGAAUCAUGCAAUGCCAUCCUGUUUAGCCAGUCAUCGUAUAUGUGAAUUGUAUCGUGCCAUAUUUUUUCCAUAAUGUAUUCCAUUUGUCAACAAUGUUUAUACAUUCAUCUACUCUUCCUGUGCAUCAGCCAUUUGAGUCGGUCAUGGGAAAAUCUGGAGUGAAAACAAGGUCUUCUGAGCAGCCAGUGCUACCUGUCGAUGCAGAUUUCUUGCUGGUUACAGAUAGCUCCUCAGAGGAGGAUUCAGAGAGAGAUGACUAGUCGUAUCCCCCCUGAGGUGCAUGCUCUAACUUGGCUGGGUUAUAUUGCUCAUAUUAUGCAUAUGGUGUCUUGCAUUGCCAUGCCAUCUGCUUAGAUUAGACAUGCUUUAUGUGAAUGCCCCCUGUUUGCUUUCUAUAUCAGAUAUGUGAAAUAUGCAAUGCCAUGUUUUUCAGCUAGUUAUCAUAUAUGUGAAUUAUGCACCGCCAUGGAGCCAGGCAUCAUAUAUGUGAAUUAUCUCAUGCCAUCUUUUUUUUCAUUACGUAUUCCAUUUGUCGACAAUCUGUGUAUAUUGAACUACUCUCCAUGUGUAUCAGACAUUUGAGCCGGUUAUGGAAAAAUCUGGAGUGAAAACAAGGUCUUCAGAGCAGGCAAUGGUACCUGUUGAAGCAUAUAUCUCGAUGGUUACAGGGAGCUCCUCAGAGGAGGAUUCAGAGAUAGAUGACCAGUCCUAUAUCCCACCUGAGGUGUAUGCUCUAAGUUGCAAUGUUUAUAUUUCUCAUAUGAUGCAUAUGGUGUCUUGCAUUGCUUAGUUUAGACAUCAUAUGCACAAUAUUGAAUUCUAUCUGCUUAGUUUAGAGAUCAUACAUGCGAGUGCCAGCUGCUUAGUAUAUGAAUGAGUUAUGUCAAUUAUAUCAUGCCAUCAUGUAUACUUAGACAACAUGUAUGUGAAUUAUUUCAUCCUAACCUAUUUUAGAAAGACAUCAUAUAGUUGUGUCAUGUCAUCCUGUUUAGGUACUCAUCAUAUGUUGAAUUAUGCCAUUAUAUCCUGUUAAGUUAUCCAUCAUAUAUCUGAAACUGUGUCAUGCUAUCCUGUUUAGUUAGGCAUCAUAUAUGUGAAAAUGUGUCAUGCUGUCCUGUUUGGUUAGACAACAUAUAUGUGAGUUACCACAUCUGUCUAUCAUACAAUGUCUGUACGUUCAAUUUCUUUUCUUGUUUAUCAGCCAUUUGAAUUGGAGGGGGUUCUUGAACAGGACAGCGGUACUGGCCAGUAACUCGAACAUCAAGUUACUGUGGCUGAUAAACACCAGUCCUUUCUUGUGCAAGAACAAGCGUUGAAGGAUUUAAGCGCCAAACAAGAGAAAGUUAAUAAGCUUGCUAAGCAUCUUGCCAGCAUUAUGGGUACCCAGGAUAUUGUUUCUUGAACUCUUCUAAAGUGGCUUCAGUUCUGGACUUGUUUUGCUGCGGCGUCUAUAUGUUGCUUUGUUCCAAUGGCGAACUUUGAUGCCCAGUGGAUGUAAUAUGUGUAAUAGCCGUGAUAGCCUAGCAUAAGUUGCUUGCUUAUUUAUUUCCUUGUUGUCUUGUUUAUUUGUUUGCUUGUAGUCAGUGCAGUUCUUUUUCCACGGUUUGCUAGUGGCUGCAAUAACCUAUUUUUUAAAACUAGGCCACAAUAACCAUGGGCUAAUAUUUACUGUAGUGACACUGGGCCUCCUAUGGGCCGUAGAAACAGUGGGCCUUAUACGGGCCGUAGAAAUAGUAGGCCUUCUACGGGCCGUAGAAACAAUGGGCUUUCUACGGGCCGUAGAAACAAUGGGCCUUCUACGGGCCGUAUCAUCAAUGGGCCUUAUACGGGACGUAUGAUCGAUUGGCCAAACAUGGGCCAAUAACAGGCCGCAUUAUGGCCGUAAAUGGGCCAUCAUUAAUAGGCCGUAUUUGAUGACGCUAUAAAAAUGGCCCAACGUAUUAACGGACCACAAACGUGCCGACUGUAACCACGGGCUGAAUUUGGCCCACAAGCAGAAAAUGACAGUAACGGGCCGUAAGUAAACAAAUGCUGGAAAUGGGCCCAAGAAUAAAUGGGCUCUGAGAAGGCCGAAAGAUAACAUGGGCUGGAAACGGCCCAACGGAAUAAUGAGCCGUUAAUGGGUAUAAAGUGAUACACUGUUCAUUACGGGCCAGUUUCACCAAGGGCCAUUAAUGGGUGUAAAGUGAUACACUGUUCAUUACGGGCUAGUUUCACCAUGGGCCAUUAAUAGGCCAAGAGUUACAUAGGGCCUCAUAUGGGCCGAAAGACAUCAUGGGCCAUACAUGGGCCAGAAGUGAAAACGGGCUGGUAUCAUAUUGGAUGGCCCAGAUGACGCUACUAGGCCUAAUUCAGAUAGGGCGUAACGGGCCUUGGGUUAGCGGGCUGUAAAUGGGCUAUAUGCGAACAGGUCGUUAAUAGGCUUUCCAUGGGCCAGCCCGCCACCUUUUGACCAAGUCAAAUGGGUCGGCCUUUUCACAGGAAUGGGCCUCUGUUGGGACGUGCCACAUGUUGACGUAUUAUAGGCGCCUUCUGUCCAAUGAGUGGAUGACAUCUGUCCCAACGAUGAGCCGACACGUGUUUCCUCCAGCCAAUGAUGAUUUUACACGUGGAAAAUCCCCAUUGGUCGGGGCUGUUAACGGGUUAUCGGAUCCAAAACCCGACCCAAUAGCUUAACGGCGUUCCGUUAUGGUGGAUGCCACGUGUCGGUCACCCUUGACGAAAGCACUUCUGUGACGCGCGAUUUAUCAUCAUGGAAGUGCACACUUCUGUGAUGAUAAUUUUGGUGAUGUCAUGGAACACUUCUACGACAGCACAUGUAUGACUAUCUUGAUUCUGUCAUAAAUUUGUCAUGAAUGUACAUGCAUGACAAAAAACGCGACCUACUAUGACAAACACGUAUCAUCACGGAAGUGUAUUUUUUGUAGUGAUUGCUUUACUGCCUGAAUUUUGAUUGGGUCUGUUGCAACUCCAUAAGCCCUAAUAACAUGUCCCAAGUACUCCACCUGAGGCUGAGCAAAGACACACUUGCUUGCUUUCAGGUACAACUGUUGUUCCUUCAGUGUUUCAAAUACUUGUUGCAAGUGAAGUAUGUGAUCUUUCAUAUUUUUACUGAACACCAAAAUAUCAUCAAAGAAUACUAGUACAAAUUUUCUGAGAUACUUGGCUAAGAUAGUAUUCAUGAGCAUUUGGAAAGUUGUAGGAGCAUUGGUUAAACCAAAGGGCAUGACCAAGUAUUCAUAGUGUCCAUAAUGAGUGCUAAAAGCAGUUUUCUCAAUAUCCUCUUCCUUCAUUCUGAUCUGGUGGUACCCACUUCUGAGAUCUAGUUUAGUGAAAACAGUAGCUCCAUGCAGUUCAUCCAACAAGUCCUUAAUAGCAGGGAUGGGGUACUUGUUUUUGAUAGUCUGAGUAUUGACCUUUCUGAAAUCAUUGCAAAGUCUCCAGGAUAGAUCUUUAUUUUUCACCAAAAUUGCAGGAGAGGAGUAAGGACUUGAACUAUCUCUGAUCACCUUAUUUUUAAUCAUUUCUUGAAUGAUAUUUUCCAUAACCUCCUUUUGGUGAUGAGGCAAUAUGUAUGGCCUUUGGUUUAUAACUUUUGCAUCAGGUUCAAAAGGGAUUGCAUGAUCAACAGUUCUUUUAGGCGGUAAAUCAGUAGGAGUGCCAAAAAUAUCCUUGUACUGACCCAGAAGCUCUUGGACAGGGGGGG